AAUUGGUCCCAUACUUGGACCCUAUCCAAACAAGACAAAUAGCCAACAGGUUCUUCACCAUUUGCAGGAUUAUUGCAUCCCCUUGUCUGGGUACAAUGGAUCUAUGACUAUGAGAAGCCAUACCAAAACCUUAUCUUCACUGUCUUAUCAUGGUUAAUAUGGCCUUUCAUGAACUAAUGUUCAAAUACAGGGCAAAAUAGUCUAUAGAAGUUUAAGACACAGCCCCCUCAGCCCCAGGUUUUUGCUAGUUGCUAAAACAUUAUCCAUCAGUCCAUGCUCUUCAAUCUUCACAUGAAAGGAUUUAUAUAAAUACAUGACUCAGCAUUACAGCAUUCCAACAUCUUCAGAACCAUAUUUGAACUUGUCUUCUCAGAAGUCUCACUUCUUGAAGAGAACUUGUCUUAUAUUGUAUUUUCAGCAAAAAUCUCAAAAGUAUCCUCUGAAGUUCAGCACUUAGAUAUUAGAUAAACAAGAAAAUGAGUUCAACAAGCAGGGCUUGGAUAGCAGCACUGGGUGUGGGAGCAGUCCAGGCAAUGAGAUAUCAGGGAUUGUUCAGGUGGAAUCACACCAUAAGGUCAAUCCACCUGCAUGCCAAGAACAACCUCAGGUCCUUGUCUCAAUCCAAGCAGCUUUCUUCUUCUGCAUUUGUCUCAUCAAGGAAUAAAGCUGAAGAUCAAGAAAAACUAAAGGAGGCUGAAGAUUCAUUGAGGAAAGUCAUGUACUUGAGCUGCUGGGGACCAAAUUGAUUGAGCCCUCCAAAAGUAGUACUAGUUUGUAGUUGUUAGAUAUAGGAGGUGAUGUAAAGUUGAAGAUUUUGGUAAUAUUCUGGCUAAAAAAAUUGUAAAUUCUAAUAUUUAAGGCCUGCUAUGCCAAAUGAAUUGGAAUAGAAAAUUCAUGCCUUUUUUCAAAUAUAAUCUCUGUUAAUUUUUCUCAACUAAAUAUAUUGCAUUAGCCAUUGGAAUCUUGCGGAACGCAGAGUGGGAGAACCAACAAAGUGGACCAGUCGAGGCAGCCAUACUUCCAAAAUUCAUUUAUUUUCCUUUUCAAGAAAUGCUUAUUUUCAUAUAUGUCCUUAAAAUAAUAACAAAUAUAGUCCUUUUCACCAAAAUUUUCUCAAAAAUAUAAUAAUUAAGCUCCAAAAGCGAACCCCCUACUCCAAAAUGAGCGGUAUAGAAGCAAAUGAAUUUUUCCGAUGUUCUUUUUUUUUUUUUUUUUUGAAAGAAUUGCUAUGUUGUUGAAGGAAUUAAGCUCCAAAAGAGAACCCCUAUCUCAGUGUUUGGGUACCUAUGACAACUAACAAGUUACAAAACCAUGUGCUUAUUGUCAUUGUCAACUAUAACUAAUGUGUUUAUUUUUAUUUGUUAAGUAUCAUAACAUACUUAAAGAAGCACUCAAGACUAUUUCUUGUACAUGGAAGUCUAUGGUGGCAAUUCUCUUAAAAUUGACCCAACAUAACCACACAGAUGCUGCUCUGUUGUUGAGUGUUCUUUCUCCAUUUUAGAUUUUUCCCUUCAGUUUUUAAACAUUUUUCUACCCAACCCUCCCUCCCCCCCCCUCCCCAUUUAGUCUGUGGAUUCGGAGUUUCUGCACUCACCAAUAUCAAUUACAGUACACAAUGUAGACACUAUCACAAUAAAUAUAGGCAUUAACAUAUUAAAUAUAGAUACCAAGGGUGCGUUUGAUAAAACUGACAAUCUAAAACCUGAAUCCAUUAAGUUAUUGAAUUGUUAAAUAUUAAAUAUAAUACAUUUGAGUCUAUAUUACAUUUAGUGAUAAGUAAAUAACUUAUUAUUUAAUUUUCGGGGCAAGUUUUGCCUAGAAGAUUCAGUACAACUUAAUUAAUUCAGAUGUUUAAUUUUUAGUUAUCAAACGCGUCUGAACAUAUUAAGAUCUGAAUUUAUUAAGUUUAAGUGCUGAAUUGGGUUAUCAAACAAGGCCUAAGUUAGUAACAAGCAAAUCAUAAAAAAUUUUAGUGUUGAUUGAAAUUUGUGUUGCAAAAUUAAUCCCACAUCCAAAUUCAAAUUAAACCAAUAUGGGCUAGCAAUAGCAUGGUGCUAUUGAUUAACAAUUGUAGAAGUCCAAUUUCCUAAUUGUAGCAUAGAUGUCCACCUUAGACUUCUCCCUCCUGACUGUAAAUAGAAUAGAAUUCUCGUCCCAGAGAAAAUCAUAAACGUACACUGGAUAUAUACUUUGCUAACCAAGUAUGAAUAAAAUAUACAUAAAAAUGAAGUUGCAUUCAAAUGAAAUUAGUCUUCUACACACGUGACAUGGGUGCGAAUAAUCAGUAUUCUAAUAAUUUAUUACCCUCUCAAUGCUAAGUGAAGAAGAAGAUAGCAUUGGAUCACCAAAAAAAAAAAAAUUACAAUUUCUUCUUUUCUUUGCAUUGUUUGGUAAAAUAGGGAAAUAAAUAAUUCAAAAAUAGCCCACUUUACAUGUGGAUUACCACACCCUCCAAAGCCGGAAAAUGCCACAGCCCACCAUAAAAAAAAUCCCUGUAGCUGUUUUUGGAUUUGUUUUUGGAAGGUUUUUGGUUUGCAACAAUGCAUUUACACAAACACACAGAAACUCUAGAGAUGACAGAAUAUAAAUAUGACUUAACAUCCCAAUAGCUUCUGCAUCAAACACUCCUGAAAAAUCAAUCUGAAAACAUCUCUAGACUCUUAAACACUUCAUCAUCAACGAGGAAUUAAUCUUUCAGUUCUGCUACCUUCUUGCUGAAGAUGAGUUCAACAAGCAGGGAAUGGAUAGCAGCAGUAAGUGUAGGAGCAGUGGAGGCAAUGAAAGAUCAGGGAUUGAGUAGGUGGAACCACACAAUGAGAUCAAUGCACCAGCUUGCCAAGAACAACCUCAGGUCUUUGUCUCAGAACAAGCAGCUCUCUCCUGCACUGGCUUCAUCAAGCAGUAAAGCUAAAGAUCAAGAAAAGCUAAGGAGGUCUGAAGAGUCAUUCAGGAAAGUCAUGUACCUGAGCUGCUGGGGACCAAAUUGAUCGAGCCCCACCACUAAAACUACUAGGCAGUUUGUAAUUUUAAGAUACAUGGGGUGAUGUAAAACUGGAAAUUUUGGUAAUUUCCUAGCUACAAAAUUGUAAAUUUAAAAUUUGAGGCCCUUUUUUGCAAUGAAUUUGAAUAGAAAAUCCAUUUCUUUGUUAAAUUACGGGUUCUGUUAUUAUUCCUUAACUAAAUUAAUUGCAUUAGCAUCUCACGGAGCAGCAGAACUGCUUCAUUUUCCUUUUCAAGAAAUGCGUAAAUAUCCUUCAAGUAAUAAGAAUUAUUGUCCAUUUCACCAAAAAUUUCUCAAAUGCACGAGUAAACUCCAAAAAAGAAUGUUGUUUCUUUUUUUUUCCCCCGGUUGAAUCUAGAACGUUGUUGAUACUUGAUUGGUUAAUAUAUAGGAGCUAUCUAAACGGAGAGAAAAUACUCUCAUAUGUAAAUCCAAGACUUAGAUAGACUACAGAAAGUGUUACUUCUGGCGCAUACUACGUCUCCGUCCCAAAAUUCUAACAAGACAAAUGGCCAUUGGCCAACAGCUUCUUUGUAAUUCCAAGUUGCUAUCGCACUGUCUGGGUACAGUGCACCUAUUACAACUAACUAGUUAUAAAACCGGGUGCUCAUUCAUUGUCAACCAUGUACAGCUAGUUUUGUUAUGUUCACUCCCAUAGAUGUGAUUAACUACCGCAUUACAGGGGAAGCAUUACAAUGAUGUAUUUAGCCCAACUCGGGUAGCUCGAGUGAUUUCGUUGCUCCUCUUUAGAAUAUGGCGACCACGGUUUGAGUCCCGAGGAAAUCGUGUUCGAAAGGAACGGGUCUCUCUUCUCGGGUCACAGGAGGAGUAGUAGGGCCGAAGGCCCGGAUACCCCUAGAUCAGAAAAAAAAAAUUACAAUGAUGUAUUUAUCUGAUUUGGAGGUUCGCUCUCCAACUCUUUUGCAAUGGAGUAUUGUGCUUCCUUUCUUUAUAAAAUUCAGAGCACAGUAAUGCAUUUAUCUGAAUUGGAGGUUUGCUCUCCAACUCUUAUACAAAUCCAGUUAGGCUCAUCCUCUCUCUUAUAGUGUAGCAGCAGUCUUCAUCGUUGUAUCCAAAAUUAAUCUCUUUUAUUCAAAUUCAAAUUAACCUGAUAUGCUCCAUCGAUUGCUUGCUUGGUGCUAUUGAUCUGAUAAUUGCAGGAAACAAGUCCCCUAUUUUGUACAAUGAAAGUGUGAUAGAGACGUCAAUCGUAAACUUUUCCAUCCUAAUUAUAGACAGGAUUGUAGUCAUCCAAGAGAAAAUCUCAAAUAUACAUUGAAUAUGUUUGCUUAUUGAUUAUGAACAAAACAAAUAAAAGUAAAGUUGUAUCUGAAUGGAAUUAGCCUUUUGUAUAUGUGACAUGGGUACAAGUAAUCAAUAACUCCUAAUGAUUGAUUACCCUCUCAAUGCUAAGUCAAGAAGAAGAUAGUUUAGAUAGAGUAUUAUUUGAAAUAAUUAUUAUAGCAUUUUUUAUGAUGUGCACAUGAGAUUAAAAAAUAGUUGAAAACAUUAACAAUUAUGGUUAAAAAAUAUAUUUAUGAUGCUAACAAAAUAAUAUUUAGGUAUAAUUUCAGAAACCUUCCUUGGGGUUUUUGACAAUUACACAUAAAUACUCUCCAAUAUCAAAAAUUACAGUGCCCUCCCCUUAAUUGACAUAUUUGAUAACAAAUUAAGUCCAUGUUAGAAAAAGUACUCUUAAAGUAAUGAAUCAGUUUUGUCAAACAAUUAUAUUUCAAGUUUGCCCUCAUUGAAUCUUAAAGAAAAUAAGUUAAAAUUUUGGGCAAGAAAAAUGGCAAUAAAAAAAGGAAGAAAAAUUGGCACCAAGUUCAUCCGCUAAGGACAUGAAAUUAACAUUAAACAAAUCAGCAUUUUGGACAGCAAAGUCCUACAAGAAUUGAUGGUACUUUGUGGACAAUAUAUAGCAUAAAAUGCUAGUGAAUGAGCACAAAAAAAAAAAAGAGGCCAAUUUCAACUGAAUACAAAGGCAAUGAAAGAAACAUGUCUUCAUCAAACUAUCGUCGGAGCUCAUUUCAUGCAGGCACAUCAUUGAGGAUGAAAAAUAGAAACUAUAAUGGGUGUGGAUGGAAAGCAACAAUUAAAAUUUUUUAAAGCAAAAAAAAAAAUUCCUGGCAGGUUAUAUUUUGGUUGUUCUAAGUAUGGCUAUUUCAAGUGGUUUGAUGGCAAUGUAGCCAAAGAAGUGAGUAGUCGAAGACAAGAAGAUCCAACACAAGUUCAAAUAUCAAAAAGCAUUGGCAACAAUGUAGUGUCACCGACCCAAAUAUUGAUAAUGAUCAACAUGAGUUUACUAAUUAUAUUCAUUUUCAUUCAAAUUGUAAAGUUCAUUUGAAAUAUGGAUAUAAUUGUAAGAAUGUACCACAAAAAGUGUCUUGGUAGUUAUAUAGUGGCAGAACUAAAAGGCCAUAAAACGGUGGAUUUAAAUUCAUCUAUGAUAUUUAGUAAGAGUUUAUCUACUGUGAUUCAAAAUCAAAGAUUCUAGAUGUACAAAGCACUAUAAACUAAAUAAACUAAAACAAGUCUUAAAUAUAAUAAACAACAAGGUCAUACACUUCAAACUGGUUGAAUACCCAUAACAAGCAAUCCAAGGCAAGAAAAACAUGUCAACAAGGUUAUACACUUAAUGGCGCCAAAUUGCAUAUAAAAAUACUAUACUUGGAAAACUAGUCUUUUCCCCAUAUUUUUAGUAUUUUAGGGAUUGAUUUUGUGGGCUGUUGAAUAUGACAACCGGUCAUAUCAAAGUGAAAGAGGAGGGCACUGUAAUUUUUUAUAUUGGAAGGUAUUUAUGUGUAAUUGUCAGAAACUUCAGGGGAGGUUUCUGAAAUUAUCCCUAAUAUUUAUACUAUAUAUAAAGGGAGCCUUAAAUUUGAUGUAAACUUUUUUUUGUCAUCUUUUAGAUUUCCAGCUUCACCCUCUCGAUCACUUAAUUAUACCACCAUAUUGCUAAUCAACUUAACCACAAAUUAACUUUCACCCCAAUUAUCUAAAUAUAUAUUGCCUACAUAACUACCUACAAACAUUGUAACCAACAAGUUAAUUAAAAUUCUAUUAAAGAACUAUUUUUUUGACAAAUAUUCAAAAAACUAGUAAAAGAUCAAAAUUUACUUGUUCAUGUAUGAAAAUUUUAUACUAAAUUCUUUCAUAUAAAGGAUCGUUCCGAAAUUCCACAUACAUCGAGUGUGCCUUUAUCGCUAAUUUGAGAUAAUAUGUGUAUCCAAACAUAGUAAUAAUUUCUUCUAUUCUUUGCUUUGUUCGGUAAAAUGGAUUAAAAAAGCAAAUGAAAAAUACCCCACUCGACCUUUACAAAACCGCCCUCCCCAAAGUCAGUGGAUAAAUACCACAGCCCAUGAGCCCACUAGAAAUUUAAAAAACCAUAAACUCCAAGACCACUGGAAAAGCACCCAGCCCCUGGUUUCUGCAACAACUUAUUUACACAAACUUUUGAGAUGACAGAAUAUAAAUAUGGCUGAACUCCCCAACAACAUCAGCACCAAAGAACAUCUUCUCAGAAUUCAGAAAAACAUCUCUAGUACUCAACCAAGCUUCAAGAGUUCCAGAAAGACUCCAUCAUCAACAAGGAAUCUUUACAGUUUUAAAAUUUAUUCUUGCUGAAAAUGAGUUCAACAAGCAGGGCGUGGAUAGCAGCGGUGAGUGUAGGCGCAGUGGAGGCAAUGAAAGAUCAGGGAUUGAAUAGGUGGAACCACACCAUGAGGUCUGUACACCAGCUUGCCAAGAACAACCUCAGGUCCCUGUCUCAGACCAAGCAGCUUUCUCCUUCUGCAUUGGCUUCAUCAAGCAGUAAAGCUAAAGAUCAAGAAAAACUAAAGAAGUCUGAAGAAUCAUUAAGGAAAGUCAUGUACUUGAGCUGCUGGGGACCAAAUUGAUUGAGCCCCCCAUUAGUACUACUAUUUGUAAUUUUUUUUACAUACAUGGGGCGAUGUAAAACUGGAAAUUUUGGUAAUUUUGUACCCACAAAAUUGUAAAUUUUAAAAUUUAUGGCAUUUUUUGCCCAAUGAAUUGGAAUAGAAAAUUGAUGUGUUCUUUAAUGUGCAAUUUCAGUUUAGCAUUUCUUAAUGGGGUUAACUGCAUUAGCAUCUCGAGGAGGUGUGAUAGAUUAAAAUUGAUUAGAUUAAAAUGUAGGUUAAUCCAAGCCGCCUUAAUUGACAAGAGAAAUAAAGAGUGACAAAAUUGUGGGGUCAAUGUAUUGGCAAACAACGCAUGAUUGAGUAUAACACAGACGACUUCAUUAAGCAGUAUUAUUAGUAGUUUAGGCCCGAGAUAUUCACCUUUUUUGUUUUGUCAAAACCCGAGGAUAUUCACUUGGCUUUAUUGGAUCCGUAUUUUCUCAAUGUACUUUAGGCUUCCAAAGAGGCUAAUAAGAUUGAGUAUUGUUUAACUCAUCAUGCAAAAACUGCCAAUCUUCUUAAAAAUCUAUGGAAUUCAUCGCCAAGUUUUGUCAAGUAAAUCGUGUUGAACGAUAUCUACCAAUCUCAUUAAUAAAGUUUCCUGUUUUAUAAAAAAAAAAAAAAAAAAAGUAUUACCAUCUACUACAUGGCCUCAUUUUUAGACUGAUUUUCAAAACUUGAUUUUAGAUUUUAAUUUUAAAAAAAUUAUUUUAUUGUGUUCUCAAUUGCUGUUCAUAUUUUGAUUUUGAGUUUUUUUAGCUUUAAAAAAUUAAAAAUUAGAAGCAUCUAUUUUGAUAUUUUUUAUUUUAAUUUUCCAAAAUUAGUUCUUAUACAAUCAAAAACAGUUGGGAACAAGGCCAAUAACUUGUUUGUCUAUUUUUAUUCAAUAGGAAGGACUUAUGUUCUCAUUGUUAAUUACUUCAAGUAUUAACAAUGCUUGCACUCAAGAUUAAAUCUCUUAUACUUGAAAGUCUGUUGUGGCUAAUUCUCAUAGAAUUAAAUUAACCCAUAGUAGCCAUACACUUGUUCUUCUAUUUUUAAGAUUUUGGAAUUUUCGCGUGGGUACUUAGGUGAUUUUUAUACACGCGCCACUUUGUACAAUGACCAUAACUUACAAGUUCGCCUUAAACCUUUUUUUUUUUUUUUUUGGAAGGAAUUCACCUUAAACGUUUCUCUCGUAAUAUUUAGAAUUAUAGUUCUCGUCAUUCUUGAGAAAAUAAAAGUAUACAUCAAAUAUGUACGUUGCUAACCAAUUAUGAAUAAAGUAAAUAAAACUAAAGGUCUACUAAAAUGGAAAUAAGAUUGCACAUAACGCAUUAUGCAAAUUUUGCCUUUUUGAAUGUCUUAGAAUUUUCUUCCGUCAAGAAAGCAGUGGUGAACAAUUUUCAACAAUCUUAUUGAUAAAACUCUUUUGUUAUAUUAAAAAAAGUUAUUAAAAUGGAAUUAGUCCUUUGUAUAUUUGACUGGGGGUGCCAAUUGGGAUUUCGUAAUCAGGUUUUAACAAAUCCAAAUUCGAUUCACAAAUGAUAUAGGUUUUUUGAUCUUCGGGCAUUCGGGUUUGAAGUUCAAAUUAAAAGGUUCGAUCUCAAUUCUCAUUGUUAAAUGAGUUUCAGGUUCAAAUCAGACUUGACUCAAACUCAUAGUUAAAUACAAAAUUAUAUAUAAUAUAUUUAUAAUUAUGAAUCACUAUAAAUUUAUAUAUAAAUUAUUAUGUCAUAGAUAUUUAUAAUUACACACACACAUUCAUAUAUGAGCCGGGUAUUAGCUGUGUUCGAUUCUAGCAUGAUUCAAAUUCGAUUUUACAUUUAGGGUGUAUUUGAUAAAAUUGAAAUCUGAAAUCUGAAUCCAUUAAGUUAUUAAAUUAUUAAGUAUUAAAUCUAAUACAUUUCAAUGCAUAUCACAUUCAACGAUAAGUUAAUAACUUAUCACUUAAUUUUGGGAGCAAGUUUUAAUUAGAAAAUCUAAUACCACUUAAUUAAUUCAAAUGUUCAAUUUUUUUUAUCAUCAAAUAAUCUGAAUAUAUUAAGAUCUGAUUCCAUUAAGUUUAAGGGUUGAAUUUGAUUAUCAAAUAGGGCCUUAGUUCCGGUCUAAUAUUAAGGCUAAACUCUAUCUAGUCCAAAUAAAAAUUAGUCCAGCGGUUUUUUUGAGCCAAAUAAGCCGAGCUCGAACUGUUCUAAUCCCAUUGACAACCCUAUAUUUGACAUGGGUACGACUAAUCAGUAACUCCAAAUAAUUUAUUACCCUUUCAAUGCUAAGUGAAGAAGAAGAUAACAAUUCCCUCUUUUCUUCUUAUCUUUCAAUGCUACGUAAUUCCAAAAUUGGCCGCUUGAUUUCCUGGAAACCGUGCUCUCCAGAGCCAGUUGAGCACGCCACAGCCCUGAGCCCACAAGAACUUUAAAAAACCACACUCUCCUAGACCACUGGAAAGCUACAGAGCCCCUGGUUUUUUGCAACAAUCAUCAUACACAAACACACACAAACUUCAGAGAAUCUGUGUAUAUAUAUGACUGAACCUCCCAACAGCUCCAUCACCAAACACAUCUUCUUCUCAGAAUUCUAAAAGCAUCUGCAGCACUCAACUAAAGACUUGUAUCAUCAACAAGGAGUCAAUCUUUCAGUUUAACUACGUUCUUGCUGAAAAUGAGUUCAACAACCAGGGCAUGGAUAGCAGCAGUAAGUGUAGGAGCAGUGCAGGCAAUGAAAGAUCAGGGACUGUACAGGUGGAACCACACCAUUAGGUCAAUGCAGCAGCUUGCCAAGAACAACCUCAGGUCCUUGUCUCAGACCAAGCAGCUCUCUCCUGCAUUGGCUUCAUCAAGCAUUAAAGUUAAAGAUCAAGAAAAAAUUAGGCAGUCUGAAGAAUCAUUAAGGAAAGUCAUGUACUUGAGCUGUUGGGGUCCAAAUUGAUUGAGCCCCCCCACUAGUACUAUUUAGUUUUGUAAUUUUAGAUAUAUGGGGUGAUGUAAAACUGGAAAUUUUGGUAAUUUUCUACCUACAAAAUUGUAAAUUAUAUGAUUUUAAGACAUUUUUUGCAAAUGUCUUUCUUUAAAUAUGGUCUCUAUAAUCACUGCUUAGUUGAAUUAAUUAAUUGCAUUAGCAUCUCAAUGGGUGGCAGAGUUAAUGGGGUUGAGCUCAGGCAGCCAUACCACCAAAAUUGGUAUAUUUUGCUAUUGAAGAAAUGCGAAUUUUGCUAUAUAUCCUCCAUGUCAUAAAAAAAAUUCUUCCCUUUCACCAAAAUUUUCAUGGCGACACAAGUAAACUCCAGAAGAGAACUCCUAGCCCCAGGUAUGGAUGCUUGCCUUUGGAAUUAUCAAGAAUUUGCUUUCCACUGAUCUCGCCAAAGAAUAUGUAUGAGGUUUUUCUUCCUUUUUUUUUUUGGUUUAAUAAAAGAGUGAUACGUUAUUUUUUAUGCUCGACAUGAAAUGAUAGGGAAAAAAAAAACUUUUGCACAUAGAUACAUAGGAUCGGUCCGCAAUCAAUACGCCCGGAUAAAGGAAAAAAAAGAAGGUGAAAAUUUGCAAUUUUUUUUCCCUGAGAAUUGCAAUAUUGUUUUGAUAUUUGAAAGGUUAAUAUUUAGGUGCUGUCCAAAUCGAAAGCAAAUACUGGCGUAUGUAAAUCCAAGGCUAAAUUGAUUAAAGAUGUGUUUCUUCCUAUUGUUCUUGCUUUUGGCCCAUACUUGACGGUUGAUACUUCCGCUCCAUCCCAUUUCCUAAAACGAGACAAAUAGCCAACAGCUUAUUUGUCAUUCCAAGAUCCUAUCCAAUUGGCUGCAAAACCGUGUGCUCGUUGUCAUUGUCAACCAUAACUAGCAUGUCCAUUUUUUCUUUUGUUCUAAAAUUAUCUUCUGUCCCAAAAUUAUCUUCGAUCUCAUCUGUUUGAUGAGAUCUGGUCCGUGUUAUACACGUAACAGCUAUAUAAAUACGAAACAAAUCAAAUAGAAGGUAAUUUGUGAACAGAAGAUUUGAAACGUGUAUUUUAUAUUGGAUAUGGAAGAGUAUCUCAUUGGAAGUUAAGUACUACAAUAACAUACUUAAAAAUGCACUCAAGACUAUCUCUUAUACAUCAAAGUCUAUGGUGGGCAAUUUCCAUAAAAUGAAUCCAAUAUAACCACUUUUUCUUCUAUUUUUAAGUGUUCUUUCUCAAUUUUAGAGUUUUCCCUUCUGUACUUAAAUGGAUUUUUCCACCCCCACUCUACUUUGUAGGUCUAGAGAUUUAAUUUGUAAUCACUAGUGCUAAUUGCACUAUAUAAUGUGGAUAGUAUCACAGUAGAUACGGACACGGACUUGACCCGGACACCCCACUCCGUCGACCAAAAAAAAAAAAAAAAAAAAAAAAAGAUACGGACACGGACUUAAUAGAAGUAAAUCCUAAGAUGAUAACAUACAAAAUCAUCUAACAAAUUUUGUAAUUUAAUGGAAUUUGUGUCCCAAAGUUAAUUUUAUACAUCCAAAUUCGCAUUAUAUCAACGCUGGCCAUGAAUCAUAUGGUGCUGUUGACCUCACAAUCAAACCAAAAGCAGUUCCAUGUUUUUUUGUACAAUUGAGUGUAGCAAAGAGGUCCACCUUAGAUUUUUGGGAUAAUUUCAAAAGCCCCACUGAGGUUUCUAACAAUUUCAUUGAGCUCCCUGAGGUUUGGAAACUUACACAUACCUUCCUUGAUUUGAUAGUUUUAGUAACAAAAUCUUAAAAUAUCAUUGACUUGAUCAAAUUUUUAAAUGAAUACCCAAAAAUGCCCCUGUGUAAUGAGUUUUAAUUUAUUUAUCCAUACAAUUAUAAGAUUAUCUAAUAUAAUUAUAAGAAAAUGUGCCAAAAUUUUUAUGUUCAUACCUACUAUUUGAUAAACAACUAUAAUAAUAAUUUUAUCAUUAUGAUAGAAUACUUUUGAUGGUAUUUUAUUAUGGAUUUAAAUAAUUCAUUUAAAGUUUAUGAAUUUUUCGAGUAGUGGGAUUAUCAUAAUUUAGUAGUGGUUUUGGGCCAUUUUCUUUUGAUUUAUUGUUAAUUUUAAUACCAAAAAAUAGAAAACAAUGAUUAGCAAAAACAUUGGAUUGCAUAAAAAGUUAAUUCAUCAAAAAAAUCACUAGUUCGACAUUUGGUUACAAUAGAAUUAGAGAUAAUAGUAGUAGUUCUACAAUUUUAUUGGCAAAAAAUUAAAAAAAAAAGGAAUAAGAAGGAAAAAGAAUAUAAAAAUAAUUUAAAAAGUCAUUCUAAGUAUAAACAUACCAAACAAGGAAAUUUCAUUAAAAUAUUUAAGGGUAGUAUUGUCAUUUUAAAUAAAAAGGAGGUAUGUGUAAUUUUUAAAAUCUUAAGGAGCUAAAUGAAAUUGUUAAAAACCUCAAGGGAGGAUUCUGAAAUUAUCCCUAGAUUUAUCCCUCCUAAUCAUAAAUAGAAUUCUCGUCCAAGUGAAAAUAAAAAAAUAUACAUUGGAUAUGUACUUUGCUAACCAACCAUCAAUAAAAUCUAUAAAACUAAAGUUGUAUUAAAAUGGAAUAAGUCUUUUGAUAUGUGACACAGGUACGAGUAAUCAAUAACUUCUCAUAAUUUAUUACCGUCUAAAUGUUAAGUAAAGAAGAAGAAAGUAAUUAAAUUUCUCCUUUUCAUUGCUUUGUUCGGUAAAAUGGACAAAACAAAUCGACUUUAGUGUUUUGAAAAUCGGAUCGAAUUGAUCAGUUCGAUCGAUUAAACAGUGAAUCAGUCAUACCUCCAUUCUGAUUCAAUGAAUAAUAAAAAAAAUCAAUUAAAUCGGUCAAGAAUGAACAAAAAUCGGAAAGUUUAACUGGUUUUUAUUAAAAUUUUUAUUUUUUUAAAAAAUAAAUAGUUUAAUUUUUUAAAAAUUAAUGCUAAAAUAAAUGAAUAAAUAAAAUUUUAAAUCGAGAUUGUACCGAUUGAAUCAAUUGAACAAUUGAACAUUUUUCCAAUUCACUCUUCAGUUCAAAUUUAAUAACAUUGGCCCACUUGACCUCAACAAACCAGCGGAAAAUGACACAGCCCACAAGAACCUACUAGAACAUUGAAAAAAACCAUACUCUCCAAGACCACAGGAAAAUCACACAGCCCCUGGUAUUUGCAUCAAUCCAUUUACACAAACACACAGAAACUUUAGAGAUGACAGAAUAUAUAAAUAUGACCGAACUUCCCAACAACUUGAGCACCAAAAAACACCAUCUUCUCCUCAGAAUUCUAAAAACAUCUCUAGCAUUCAACUAAGUGCCAGAAUAUCCUAAAGACUUCAUCAUCAACAAGGUUGUAUUAGUCUUUCAGUUUAAUUACAUUCUUGCUGAAAAUGCAUUCAAUGCACCAGCUUGCCAAGCAAAACCUCAGGCCCCUGUCUCAGACCAAGCAGCUUUCUCCUUCUGCAUUGGCUUCAUCAAGCAGUAAAGCUAAAGCUCAGGAAAAACUAAAGGGGGCUGAAGAAUCAUUAAGGAAAGUCAUGUACUUGAGCUGCUGGGGUCUCAAUUGAUCGAGCCCCCCAUAUGGCUGCUCUGUAGUUUUAUACGGUAUAUAGGAUGACGGAUAUGGAAAUUUUGUAUCUUUUUGGAUAAACAGAACUGUAGAUUCUAAAAUUUGAGGCCAGUUGUAAUAAAUAGAGCCAUCAAUUCAAAAAAAAAAUUGAGAUCUGCAAUUGUCAUUUUUUUUUUCAUAUAUCCUUUUUGUGUAUCGGUAUCUGGCCAUUUCGGAAACUUGUCUUGAAAGAUGGAAGGAAUAAAAAUCCCAAAAAUGUUAACUGAUGGUAAGUUAAUUAUGUCAUUCUGUUCAACUUAUUCCUGAUAAUAAAAGAAAAAAGUUAAAACUAAUUUGGCUUAAGUAUUUUUUUUUGGUUAUAGAAGUGUGAUAAGCCCACAUCAAACCUUGGCUCAACCAACUUUAUUUGCCUCUACGGGCUAAUCUGUUUUUUUUUUUUUCUCUUGAAAGAUAUGGGCUAAUUUUUAUGACGUCUGAAAGAAAAAUAUAUAUUUUUUGGUUGAUCAUAAAAGUACAAUAUGCCGACAUCACCUUAACCAUAGCACCUUAUAAGUUGGGCUAAAAGACAGUGGCAAGGUGUGAUUACCUGAUUGUGUAUCCUUUGAGCGGUGAAUUGGAAAUUUAAAGGCUAAAUAUGGACACUCAAGAACCAGAAUACUAAUGAUUAGUCAUAUCAUGCUAGGAAAAAAGUACUAAAAGAUUAGACUGAUUAGAGCUAACUUGAGCCAAUUGAACGUAAAGCCAACUAUUUAACAGGAGAACGUACUACUUUAUACCAAUAUUUAUCAUUCUUCAUUUACAGUUAUGCCAAUCUUUUCCCUUUUCUGAACUCAAAGAAACUCCUGCGCUCUACUAGACUACUGCUUGUGCUGUAACUGUAAAUUCUUAAAUAGGAAGCGUGGUCUUCACCAUUAGAUCCUGGGUAGGUCAGUAAAGAAACUUCAAGCCCUUUGCAUAGGUGACCGUUUUGGUCUUCAUGAAAAUACUGUUUUACAAAAAUUAUUCAAAACAUACUUUUAAAGGACAUGGUCAAAGAAAUAGAGCCAUCUGUAUCCCUGGUUAAAUAAUGUCGUACGUGGUAGGAAAAUGCCAAAUUGGACAAAGAUUUCCAGCCGAUUCUUUUAGCCAUAAUCAACAUUUAGCUUUGUUUCUUCUGUUCAUAGUCAUGCAGCAGAGCAAGUAGAUCACUAGUUGUCUUAAUUUUUUCUUGAUGAAGUCCACACCUACUUCCUUUUUCCCAUGUUUAACGUCUACAAUCCUGAAAACAGUAGAAAAGAUGGUGCAAUACUGUAAAUUGUGAUCAAUGUUGUGCUAAAGGAGCUUGUUUGAGUUAAAAAAGAAAAAGAAAAAAAAAGACAGGUUGUUUGAGUUCACGGGCAUUAGGAUCUCAAUAUUGGCGGACUAGGGUCUUUGUGACAAAUACAGUUCGAAAGAAUUACUCUCUCCGUCCUAUUAUUAAUGUCAUGUUUUCACUUGAUGUUUCAAAUAAGAGUUACCAUUUUAAAAUUAACACAUUACUUUUCAAUCUUAUUAUUUAAAAAAGUAACUUUUUAAAAUUUCAAUUCACAUCUAACUAGAGGAUAUUUUGAAUUCAAAGAAUACGUAUGUAAAUUCACUGCUACCGUCUCAUCUGGAUAUAAUGAUUGCUGUGUUUCUAUAAAAAGUUGAAUUUUCAAAAAAUGACUCUAAUAUUGGGACAAAGGAAGUAUACCUUAGUUUCCUCAAAAAUUAUGGGGUGGCUUGCUUCUAUGAGGAUAAGUUUACAAGUUGUCUAUGAUAAAAAAUUCUAAAAUCUCUCAGUGGUCAGGUAACUAAGUGAUCACCAGUUGGGAUUGUAGAUUAUUGUCAUACCAAAGUAACCAAGGGCCAGUGAAGAGCUUUUAGAAUCUUCUCCACCGGGACGCUAUCAGGUUUAGAAUUCGAAUUUUAUGUCUGAUAAUUAGAGGUGGGAGGCGUGGAAGGGUAAAAAAAAAAAAAAAGUAAUCAAUGACCAUGAUCGCCAUGAACGGUUAAGGGGCAAAAAAUCUGGCGAAAAUCUGAGAUUUUGGACAUAAUCAAUAGUCAUUCUCAAACCUCAAAGAAACUGGAUGCACAUACAUAUUUAAUUACUUCUUAAUUGUCCUAAGAAAUGACCAUUGAUGUAGCCACCAUAUCACUUUAAUAAUAUCUGCAUGGAUGAUUUUUCUCUAAACCUUCUAUUAAUUCCUCGACUAUAUAUUUUAAUCAAUUUACUAACUUCUUUUCUUACAAUUCACAUGUAUAUACAAGUCCUGUAUUGACAAUUCACAAGUAAAUAUAUGAGUUAAGUCCUUCUUCUGCAUUGACAAUUCACAAAUAAAUAUAAGUUCUUCUCAAAUUAACCAUCCAUCUGGGCUGAAGCAAAAUUAUAAGAUUCCUCGUGGAAAAUUUUAAUUGCCACUUGUCUGGUUAAUUUAUAUUAGUGAACAUUUUCAACUCCCUAACCAUACGUGGAUUAAUCAAAUCAACGUUGUAAUAUAAUAAUUUAGAAAGGAAAGAAGAAACGUCAUGCUAUAGGUAAUAUCAAUAGUCUUUUUUUUUGGGUGUCUUCUCCCAAAUGUUACCACGACAAAUCACAUCUAAUCUAAAUUUGGAAAGCCAGAUAUAUAUAUAGGUAUAUAUAUACAUGCUUAGCAAAUAUAUUAUAGGCAAUUAGGCAUUACUAAUAAUCUAUGAUAAAUGGCAAAUUUUCUAGACCAAAACUUGAGGUUUAUUCGGCUGUUUUAGGUGUGAGUUGGUAAGGAAAGUGAACUAGACAUUUGAGAUGUCAUGUUCAAACUUCAAAGCUCCAUCCCAUUCUAUCCAAGACAUAUAACGCUUGAAGCAUCUCGAGCACCGUCCUUGAUUUUUUCAACUACAUUAAUCUGCUGUCAGACACAAGAUUCGAAUCUUGAAUCUAAUAGCGAGAAAGAAUCUUUCUCUGACUAUUAGACUGAACAUUAAUCCAUUUAGUUAAAACAACUGAAAUUAGUUUUAUUUUUCAAGAUAAAUGUCAAAUUUUGUUCAAUUAUUAUCGUCGAAUGAAUUAGGCAUUAUAUUCAUCUUUUCUUAAUCCAUCACAAGCUUUGGAUUAGUCCUUAUCGAAAGAUACAAAGAGAAAAAAAUGAUUUAUGAAAUUGGAAGGAAAUAAUAUUGUAACACGCUAAUCCACUAUUUAUUACAUAAGCUUGAACAAGUUGAGUGACUAGAGUAGUAAGUAUUACAUCAAGUUUUUCCUUCUCCCUUCCAUGGUUGAAAAGAACCAAAUAAUAAUGAUGGAAGAGUUUUAACUUUAAAGGUGAAUCUGAGCCAAACGCUGCUUGAAGGCUGAAGCUGCUACUUUUCGCACUUCAAAAAAACAUAUCGAAUGACAGAAACCUGUUAAAAGAUAAAAAGCUGAACAAGGGGAACAUGCAAGCGGCCCUGCCGACAAAGUCGAGUAAGCAGCAGAACACGUACUUCGCUUUUAUAUGUUCCUCCUACCUGUCUUGGUUCAAUCAUAUUCUUAAAUGAUAAAAAAGUAGAAAUUCUUAAAUGAUAAAAAAGUAGAAGCAGCAGGUGUCUGUGAAGAGACAUUCGUUUGAAUCUUGUGGCAGUUUAAUCUUCUCCCAUUCUCUUUGACUUUCUUUGAUUUACUUCUUCUCCUUAGAUAACUUUGUAAUUUUUUUUUUUGAAGGAAUCAAAAUUAGUCUUCAAAUAUUUAAAGAAAAUUUUCAAUUUUUUUGUUACAAAUGGUAAAAACUAUAGCACCCUACUCUAAAGGGGUGAAAGAAAUCUAAAUGGAUUAUGUAAGAUAUUGAAGAAAAAGACCUAUCUAAAUUAGAACAAUGCAGUGAUGCACCCUCUAGAUUAUUUUAGCGGUGGAGUGAGAAGUUUGAACUCCUGACAAACAUAUUCAUUUAUGAUGUAAGUCGCUCAAAUUUUAAGAACUUUCAUUAAGGGCGUGGAUUCAUUCCAUAAGCCCAACAAUUUUAUCCUUGUUCAGCUUUGUUAGUUUUUUGAGAUAAUUUCAAAAACCUCUACUUAGAUUUUUGAUAGUAUCAUUUAACGCUCUCAAACUUUAAAAAAAUAUCGCUUGUCUCCUCUAGUUUAAACUUUUUAUAACAUUUGUAACUAUUUCGAAAUAUAAAAUUGAAAAAAAAAAACUCAUUACGGGAAAGAAAAUAUAAUCUCACUCCAAAUUUGUCCUUUUCUUGUGGUCUCUUAAUUGUCAUAAUAUGUCACUUUCAUUUUCUUUGUAAGCUUGGUCGAUAUGAUUUUUUAAUGAAAAUUUAAAAGUUGAUAAUGGGGUUGAGAGGCACUUUUAAUAUAUUUUUUUAUCAUUUGUUUGGAUAAGAAAUACUAAAAUUUUUGAAAUUAUAAAUACUUUACAUUGCUUAUAAAAAUAACUUGAAAUGUGUUACAAUAAUGAAAAUAAAUUUUGGCACCAACUUGAAAAUAUCAUAAACAAGUUUGUAUAUGGUUUUUCGCAUUUUAUAUUUUUCUAGUUUUGAAGUAUUUAUAAAAUCCCUUAAAUUAGCUCAAAACAUUUUAUAGUAAUGAAAAUAAUGCUUUUGUAAUUUGCAAAAACCUCAAUUAACUUUCAAGCAUAAACUAUUUUGUAUAUUAAAAAAAUAAUUGCUGCUAUAUUUUAUCCCAUCAGAUUUAAACCUCCAUGCUCUUUGUUUUUGGUUUCAAAUUAUUAUCAAUAUACUCAGGUUUUGUACCAAAGAGUAAGACAAUAAAUUGAUAAAAUUCGAAUGAGAUUAUAUUCUCUCUUCUAAAAUGAGUUUUUUAAUAUUAUAUUUUGAAAUAGGUUGAGAAUGUUCCAAAAAGUUUAAAGUAGGGAUAGCAGGUCGUAUUUUUCAAAGUUUGGAGGUACUCAAUAAUACUGUUAGACAUCUUAAAGGAGGUUUUUGAAAUCAUCCCUAGUUUUUUUUUUCUUCCCUUGAACUUUGAUACUUUAUAUUGGGAGUUAGCUUGAAAUUUUAGAUUAUAUUUUGCCUUGUUUGGGAUUCUAGCUAUAAUAUUUGCCUUCUUUGGUAUUCUGGCUAUCUUUUUCAGUACUUUCAUGUUUUGGGUGCUAAGUUCCUACUAAAUACGUUGAAAACCAGCAAGCUGUUGGAUUAGGUGAUCGUGAUAGAUGGAGAUGUAAUUUUUUUUUUCUCGUAGUUGCACUUAUAGGUGAAGUCCAAGCAUUAGUACCUUGGAGUCGACAGCUGCCUAAAACGAAAAGUAAAAACAUGCAUACAGAUGGAGAAAGCUCAACGAACAUAACAUACACUAAUAAUCAUUUUAGGGUGAAGACUAAGAAAUAUAUCCUCUUUUGCUCUCUUAUUCAACUCGAAUUAGGCAGUCAAACCCACGAAGCUUUCAUUGGUAAUUAGUGGUAUGAUAAAUUUUUAUGCAUCAACUUGGAGGGUGGUUUUAACGCAUUAUUUGUCGCGCUUCCAAUGUGCCAUUGACCAAUAUAAUUAUCUCGUAGAGGCUCAAAAUUUUAAUCCAUGAUUAAGAUUUAAUUAUCCUAACAAAAAAAUUUAAUUACACUAUCACCAUCACAAUUUUAACUUGUCGAAAUUCAAUUGCGAAACACGAAUUCUUUUUAUUUUUUUUUAAGUAUGACUAGAAGCAACUCUUUUUUUUUUUUUUUUUAGGGUUUUCCGCAGGGAGUGGAUCCCGCAGACUAAUCCCCUGCCCCCUGCAACUUGCUGGCAACUCACACAAAUGAGUUCUCAGUACAGUACAAUUCAAUAACAUUACAACCCAUAAUUCAUAAAUAAUGGGAUAUAGUUAUUGAUAAACUCCCAUCGGUCAGUGUGACGAAACAUAAAAUUCUAAGCAUGUAUACAAAGUUUUUCUAACCAAUAAAAAAAAUCAAGAGUGCAUUAUCAAACCAUGAACUCAUGAGUUCAAAAAUUACUUUCAAUCUAAUUAUCAAACCUUGAAAUCUAAUUCAAGGGUUCAAACUUCAAAAUGUAUUUGUCUUCUUCUCAUAGGUCCUAUAAUGUGCUAAAAGAAACAGUAUCAAUAUAUAGCUUGUUUUUGUUGAUGUAGAAGCUUUGUUUGAGAUACUCUUGUCAUUUAAAGGUUGUUACAUAUAGUCUGAAACAAAGGAGAAUAGAUAGACAUCAGCAUUGCAAAGUCUAGCAGGAUGUUGGAUUCUAGUGUGAAGAGAGGAACUUUAGUCAUUGUAAGACAAAAUGAAUUAGGUGGAGAAAGUGGGGGGAAUAGAUACUUUGUAAAGUUACUUGCAAGAACAUUAUAGCAUGAAAAAAAGCUAGGUCAAUAAUAAUGGUUAUCUAAUUCAAAAUGGUAGGCCAACUGUCGAGCUAAAAAAAUUGGUUGGUUUUCAAGAGAAUCCAAUGUAUAAUUCCUGUGUCGCAAGUAUUUUAAGACUGCUGCUUCACGCUUGGAGUUUGGAAAUUGAAAUACCAGUCAACAAGAGAACAUCCUCGCGUGGAAUUAAAUGUCGAAAUUGCUAAGUCAACCCGGAUUUUCCAAUGUUUUUCCACGAUGCAGCCAAUAAUAUUUUCAUGCAUGACUAGAAUUUAUUGUAAAUCUAGGAAUAUGUCCUUUUUUUUAAAAUUGUAAAGAAUUUAAGGAUGAGAUAUAUUUAGCCAAAAAUAGAUAUCGUGACAUGGAAUGAAUCGAAAAUCAAGAACGCUUUCAAUAAAAAGAUCAACUCUCUCGCUCGCUGAAACAAUUGAAUUCUCGACGAUCCAAAGGAAAAUAAAUUCCGUGAUGUGAUUGAAUUCUUAUCACACAAUCAUUGUGACUACAUUCCACAACAAAUAUUUCAAAGUUCUAGCUAUAUUAGCCUUUUAAUUAGUUACGUAUUGAAAACAUGAAUAUCUUGCUUAGCUUGUGAACGUAAUUUUCUCUCAAACUUUUAUUUUUUUUAAUUUUUCCAAAAGCAGUAGUAAUAUUUGCUAGGGCUUUAAAUAGUCUUGCAGGCAUGCAGUUGGACAUCUUAAGCCUGUCACUGUUACAAAACCAUCCAAAUUUAUGCUGGUUUUGAAUUUGAAGCCAUAUUAAAUCGAGAGACAUGCUGUUUAUAUUUCGUUAACUUUGAUAAUACUUCAACACUUUCAAUUCAGUAUCUCUCUCAAUUAAUAUGUUCCAGAUUCAGUAACCAGAAGAGAAAUAUGCUACUGAGCAAUCUGUACAUGUCUGAACAUCAAUGACCAAAACCAUACUUCAUUCAUUAUUAUUUGCAUCUGGCAGGGAUCAUAUACUGGUUUACAAAGCACAAAACUGAGAAUAUAGAUCUUGCCAUAUAGCAGCAUAUCAAUUACAGUGUAACAUCUGUUCUGAGAAUCUCUCUCUCUCUCUCUCUAUAUAUAUAUAUAUAUACGUGUUGCAAGUUGACCAGCAUGAUAAGAGAAAUGCCAUACAUGAUAGAGCCCACAACUCGAGCCAACUUAGAAAAAAAAAAAAUACUACCCUUCAGACAACUUGAUUAACUCUGAAACCACCAGCCUAUUCUAUCACUAUCUGACCUUGUCACAUUCACAAACACCACAAAGCCUGGAUUUUGCACAUAGCUGGACAGCAUUGAAGCCUUGAAACAUGUUUGCUCAGAACUCAAGAGCCAACAGUAAAGAGUACUUUCAGCUUCAAGCAGCAAGCUUUUAGUUCACAAAUUCUUCUGGGUAUUCUUUGAUUAUGGACUUCAUGUUAAAGAUUACGUAUCUAGUUGGGAAGUAGCAUAGUUUGGUUCAUGGCCUUGCGUUAUGGCGGCGCACGCUACUGGGAAAAUGAUUAAAAGAUGCAAAGCGAAAGUAAAGCAACUUGACUCUGCCCCUGAGGAAGAGAACCACAUGAAAGAACAUUAGUUAAAAAAACAAAAGGGAUGGUUGUCCUGAAUCCUGAGGUGUUCAUGGUUGGCGGGUGGGAGAAAAAUAUUGCAUACAUUACAUACAUGCCAAAGCCUUAAUCUGUACUAUUGAAUCAAGCAAAUGUGGUCUCACUUUUCUGCUCAAACAGGCUAAUACAAAUAAAAGUUGCGCCGCAGAAUAUUACCUAAGUUCUCUCUAGCAGGUGACUAGACAGUAGACAUUGAGCCUCAAAAGAGAUGAGGAGGCUAAGUGUAGAGCACAUGAGAUCAGAAACAUGCAAGAAUCAAAAAUGUGGUAUGAUUUACACAAAAAGAGGCCACCAUCAGAGUAAACAUAUAAAAACCAAAUCUACGUAUCAUAUACUAAAUUACACUUUCAUUGAGCUAUGGCAUUAUAGCCCCCAUAUAUCAGCAGUUAUAAACUAUAGUCGGCUCAAUCUGCUGGAAAGACGAGACACCUUCACAUGGCAAUCAACACUUUGGUCUCUGUGAGACUACUGCAGCAUGUAUGUUUUGUUAUGCGCAAACUCAUCAUGCCUGAUACGCUGUAGUCUAAAUAAAAGUGUCAAAAUAAAAAUAUAGUAUUAACUCAGACUUUGCCUAUAGAAAUAUCGAGAUCAUGAACAAGUCAAAAACACCUUUGAAUAAUUGACUACCACAGUAGUUGAUAUGAUUUCCCUGAGUAGAACCAGCCUUGGAUUGGUAAGGAAAAUGUACAGUUACCAAACGGACAUGUUUGCCUUAUUAGUCCUGCAACUUUUUAGAAGGGUUAAUGGUUCUUGCAGAAAAGGAAAUUCUCCUUUCCACCCAUACUGAAAGUGGAGAAGUUUUUCUACUCGUUUGUUGAUUGUUCUCCUUUUGUGGAAACCAAAAGAAGCACUGAAAAAACAACUCCACCAUAUCAUGUCAUGUCGCAAUGGAUAUAGCUCAUGAAACGCUUAAUUAGGAGAAAUGCACUUUGCACUAUUGUAUUCCAAAGGACAGCAAAAAAUCACAAGCCAAAAAUAGAACGCAUUCAAGAAAGAGGCAAGAGUGUAAGGGCAAAAAGUUGCUAUACUAUAAAGAAAAUGGUGUACUUAAUUGCCUCUGCGUUUGAAUGAAGCAUUUAUAGGCUGGAAAAAACACUUAAUAUAUAUUCUCUUCCUACAUAAUUCAUCCACAUCAGUUGAGGGCAAUCAUUUCUACCAUCAUUAUUGACUUAAAAAAUAUGAAAUAAUUGAUGAAACCCUCAACUAGAAGAAUCUUUUCAACUAAAAUAUGACAAAUUACAUCAAACAUAGAGCUACUAAGUUGUCCAUUACCAAUCACGCCAAAAAAAAAAAAAAUAGCCUUCCAAGGCUAAGCAUGCAACAUAUAUCACCAUCACAUAGAAUAAAGCUCUGAAUACCAAAAUAAAAACAAAGUACCUAAAGCCAUAUCUACUCGUCUAGGCAAACACCAUUUUCAAGCAUCCUCCCUCAGGGCCAUGACUAAACUUUAUGCUACUUGCUUAUUUCCUAUAGUCCUUUUCCCCUCCCCAUUGUGAUUUGCGACCGUGCUACGGUGCGGAUCAACUAGCUGAUGAUUUUGGGAUUUCUGUCCCGUGGUUUUUUGAUUCUAUCAGUACCCAACUCUGUCCCUACACCACACAUAUUAUAGUACUAGUACAUAGACAACUAAAAUUUUUUACUGUACAACAGUAAAAGAAUCACAGAAAACCAUCAUGUAUACAGUGCCUUUUUUAACCGUUUAACUUCUCCUCCAAAGUACAGUAAAAAUACUACUACAAUACCACACUUCAAAAUUCAAAGACAAAAAGUGCAAUUCUCAAAAAAACCUCGUCCUCCCCACCACACCCUGAAACUCACUGGAUUUUCCCCACUUCUGCAUACCUUCCAAGUUCCACCCACACAGGUCCCCAACCCCAUUUAAUCCCUGGUCGUCAUGCAAGACUGCAACUUUUACUAGUUCUCCAACCAAAUCUUUCCUUCUUCUCCAAAGCCAAAACACUCUGCUCCGUCUAGAAAACAAGAAAACUGGCCUUUAAUGCAAACAUGAAACAGAAACACCCCUCUAUCCUGCCAUCCAAUCCCACACAAGCCCACCCCCAAAAAAAAAUCCCCAUCCCCCAAAUCCCACAAAGUGUAUAAAGAAAACAGUAGUGUGAAAAAAAAGGCAAUUUGUACAAGCUAUAGACAACUCAUUCACUACUCAAUGUUCACUUCCCUUUUCUGUGGCUCUCACCAACCAAUCCACCGCAGAAGGAAAAUAUAUCCACAUCUAAUCAUAUAUCCUACGCUGCCUAAAGACGAAAAAAAUAAAGAAAUAAAACCCACUAUAAAAAAAGGGUAAGAAAAGAAAACAGAAAACCAAAUUCUCUCUCACACACUGAAAAUCACACACAUUAGCUAGUAUUACUACUACCAUCUGCCUAUAUAGCGGCACACACACACAUCACACACUCUUCCUUUUCAACGCUCUCUCCUCUUCACCAGAUCUCUCGGACUUAUUCUUCCUUGGAGAUGCGUGCUCUUUGAGCAGAUUUUCCCCAAAACCCCCCAAAACUCCCCAGCCCAUAACCGCUUCUGGCUCCUUCUCCUCCCCAUUGAAAUCCAUCCACAACCAAAAGCAUCCAUUUUUAUGUAAUAUACACUCAUGUAUGACGAAGUGGUUGAGAACCCAUUUGUUUUUUUCCUUCUUUUUUUGUUGUUUUCUCACCGUUUCGCCCCGAUUUUCUGAUCCAAAGCCCUGUUUUUUCUUGUUUAUUUUUUGUGUAACAGAGCUUUGUGUUCUUGAUAAGAGUUCUUGGAAAUGGAGGAUACUGCUAAUGCUAAUACGAUGAAGAUGAGGUUGUUUAGUGAAGAAGAGGUGAGGGAUAUUAGCGGGUUGAAAAGGGGCUGCGGCGGUAGCCGUGGCGGUAGCGAUGGCGAUGAUUACGUAGAGGUGACGUGUGGCUGCACCAGCCACCGAUAUGGGGAUGCUGUAGGUCGACUUAGGGUUUUCUCUUCUGGUUUUCUUGAAAUCACCUGUGAAUGCACCCCUGGUUGUCAGGAAGGUCUCUCCCUUCAAUCCAUCCUCCCAUCCUUCCUUGGCUCUCUUGGACAUAUACUCUUAUGUACAGCAUAGGAGUUUAUAUCUUGACCUCAUAUGCGAUAUGGGAUUUUUUUGAAUGCAUGCAAUAUAGGUGUUUUUGUGCGUAAAUUGUAUAAAGGGAUCUGUUUUAUUCACUGUUUUACGCCAUACAAUGGAUGGUUGUACUGGGAUUUUGUAGAUGUUGUGUAUGUUGAUUUGUCUAGGAGAGGUUGAGUUUUGAUCAGUUAUCUUAGUUCAGUAUCAGACUCUUGAGUCCCUUCUUUGGUGGUGUUCGUCUGUUCAGGUUUGGACCGAAAGAUGGUAAAUUUUUGUUGUUUGUUAGGAUGAAUAUUACAGUGAGAACGAUGUUGACGGUAAGGAAACAACCUACAUUGUAUUUGUUUACGUGAUAAUGGUUGUAUUUGAGCUAUUUUUCAUGUGAAGUGUGGAUUUUUUUGAGGCAGAGUUCUGUUCUUGCUGUCUGAACAAUGCGGUGGUGGAAUGUUCAUGUAUACUUUUAGUGGGAGGGGUUUUACUUAAUUUUGGUUCAUGAUUGGCUCUUUUCACCUUCAUUGCUAUGCCACGGUUUGUUGUGUUCUUAUAAAGCUUUUGUUACUCAAGCUAUUUGGAAUGAAAAUGUUGUUAGGACUUAGUUUACUGUGUUGAGCACCAUCUAAUCUAUGCAUUUGUAUUACUAUAAAUGAGCAUCUUCGCUAAUUGAAGUUUUGCGUGCUUGCCCUCCUGAGGUAUAACAUGUUGCUGCACAUUGCAUUUUGUACUUUUGCGUAUAGCUUAAUCAGGUUUUCUGACGGUACAUUCUUCAGUAUGUCAAGACUGUUGUUCUUGGAACUGUUGUCUUGGAAUGGCCAUCUUUUGAAGUUUACCGUUUCGUAAUUAGAUUGGAAGGGUUGGGUUAGACUUGCGUUUCAUUUAGCCAUCUCAAGUAAUUCUAUUUGGAUAAUUUUGACUACCAGCUUUUACUCAAAAUGAAAAAACUGGCAGGGAGAGCUGUAAUAGUUAAAAUGGCUGCCUCAGGUGUUUCAAGGUUAUACAGCUUAAAUUCAGUCAUUUAAUAAUGUUAAAUUUGCUGCCAUGUAUGAGAGCUCAAUGCAGUCAAGUCAUAUAUACUUCUCAAGCUUUGACUUUCCAUCAGCAACUAUGUUGAUUCUAUAGUUUUUGGUAUGCAUUUGAAUAUGCUCCUUUGCCUGCUGAAAAUAUCUGCUUUAGGUAUGGUUUAUGUUCUCCAUUAUGUCAUUUUUGUUGUCUUCACUUUUGGUAGUGCUAUUUACUUUUGCUUUUUACUAAUAUAUGCAACUUGUUAUUAGACAAACUCACACCAGCUGCGUUUGAGAAACAUUCUGGAAGAGAAACAUCUAGGAAAUGGAAGAAUAAUAUCUGGGUUAUUGUUGAUGGGGAGAAAGUGCCUUUGUACAAGACAGCACUGCUCAAAUAUUACAAUCAAGCAUCAAAAAAUGCUAAUGGUUCAAGCAGAUCACACAAUGGGAAAUUCCAUCGUGAUGAGUUUGUUAGAUGCACUGAAUGCAACAAAGAGCGCAGGUUCCGUCUCCGCAACAAAGAGGAAUGCCGCAGUUACCAUGAUGCUUUGGCAGAUUUAAAUUGGAAAUGCUCUGACAUGCCUUAUGAUGAGUAUGCUUGACAUGAUUAUAAUCUAUAGCUCUAAUACUUGCAUCAAUUUUUAGUUAAAGAGUACUUAUCAAACUUGGUUCUACUGCCCCCCUCAUCUUCCCCUCUAUCUGUCUAUCUAUUGUUGCCAUUGUUUAGUAGAAUAAAGCAUCGCUCAAUUCUUACAGCAUUUUUUAGAAGUAAAUAUUAUUCAGUGUUGAAAAAUCUUGUAGCUUGUCUUUGUUUUUAUAGUGCUAAAUAUAUUAAGCAAUGAAUAGCAUGUUUCUUCCAUUUCUGCCCAGUUAUAAAGACACAAUGCACCUUUUCACAUCUAUCAUCAUCUAUAAAUAGUGAGACUAUGGGUGAUGCAUUAGUUCAUGACCAUAGACCUGUGUGUUUCUGUGUUGAACUCUUUGGUCAAGCAGCUAAGUUGUUCAUAGAGUGUUUUUUUUUUUUGCGAAUAUUGGGAAUCUCAUUUACAUGGUUUCUGUGAUAAGCUAAUAAAAGCAAAAACAUGAACCAACCAGAAGUGGUACUGGUUUUCUAAAAAGGUCCAUUGUCAGCCUGACAUGAUGCACUUGUCUGAGAGUUGUUUGUGUGGUAGAAAUCUUUUAACUUCCAAUGCUAAAAAAAGGUUCAGUAAGUAGCUGAGUAUGCGAUCUUGUCCUCUUUUAGAUCAUUUAGCUUUCUUUUGAUAUUUGAGGUCAUCUGCAGUUUGGGUAGGUGCCAAGUUUUGUUGGGGGGGGGGGCAAUGCAUAGACAGCGAAGAAACUAUUUUAUUGAAUAAUCCCAGACACAUGCUUCAAUGAAAGCUAGAUAAGACUGGAUCAUAUUGUAAUCCCCCUCCUGAAGAAAUUGUAUGAAAACUCAACUUGUAGAAAUACGAAUGAAAGAUAAAAGGGUAGAAACUCACUCAUUAUACUUUGUUAGACCUUCAUGUUAACUAAAUAGUUGUUUUUGUCAUUCUUGUUUCAUACAGCUAUAACUAAAGAUUUCGAAACACUUAACAUGAACUAGAUCACUAAAUCAUCAUGUUAGGAAGACUGGGAUUUAUAUGGAAAUUUAAAGAUGUUAUAUGGACAAUCACAUGGUUGAGAUGGCCAUACAUAGAAACUAACAUUUCGCUUGUGAAUCGAGUAACUUUUAUCUCUUUUUAAAGAAUAGAUAAAUCUUGGUGGAAAAGGGCAAGAACUGAUGCUGUUUUACUCCGCCUUCCUUUUAAGAAAAAUAGGCAACUCCCUGAAAGGCAACAGUUGGUAUAAGCAUGGAGGUUCUCUUUGGGGCCAACUGAGAUUUUGUAUUUGAGGAUUAUAUCCAUAGAUUGGUCAAAUUGAAUGAGUUGUGAAAAAAUGUAUAACAUGACAUAAUUAGAUGUGGUCAAGGAAAUGCAUACUGCCGGUUGGGGCAUAGACUUUUUGGAGGUUAACUUGAACCUUCGAAGCUUUUUUGCCAAGUUUGGAUGCUAAAUGUUUUUAUAUCUCACUAACAGCUAAAAAUCAGUGUGAUUUGGAAAUGCUUCUAAACUAAAUUAAGUGGUAGAUUUUUUUUUUGACUAUGAAAUUUGUCUGCCUGUAGACGGCUUUCGCAUCUAAUUGUGAAUUAAUGGACUCUCCACUUUAAUGUUCUCUGUCGUUUUCUUGUGAAACAUUUCUUUGUGUUCUUUGGGUUGAUUGGGGAAACUCAGAGCCUGUUUUAUUCAGAGUCCUACCUGAUUGGCUUAAAUCAGUUCCCACCUUUUGGUUUUGUUUUCUGAUUUGUCUUGAUUGCACGUAUGGUAACUUUUUUACCAUGAUGUAUCCAAUAUAGGCAUGACGCUGGCCUAAUUUGAGCUAUAAUAGUCCUUCUUAGUUGACCUUCCAAGAAAAAGUAGGCAAAGAGAUUAUGGCACAUAUUGGGGCUUCAUUAGAUGUAAGCCUUGGCUCUCUUUAACCAAUCAAGAUGGAGCAAUUAUGCUUGAGUAUACAUAUAGGACUUUGAUAGGAUAUAUACUGGUGAUGCAGAUAUGAAUGUGUAUAUUUCUUGAUGAUCAAAGUUUUGGUAAAAAAGAUCUUAGCAAAGUUCUCAUAAACAGAUUUUCAAGUAGUUAAAAUGGAAAACAUUUGAUGCUUCCUUGUCUACCUGAUGCAUAUUAAUGUUUACGUGCAUUUGCCCUUUUUCUUUUUCUAGAAUGCUAAACCAUGUGCGUACUUGUGUUCAUAACCUAUAUUUCAGGGUUACAUGUGAAGAGAAUGAAGAAAGAGCAAGUCGCAGGGUCUACAGGGGCUGUUCCCGAUCUCCAACAUGCAAGGGUUGCACGUCUUGUGUCUGUUUUGGUUGUGAAAUCUGUAGGUUUUCAGACUGCAGCUGCCAGACUUGCUCUGAUUUCACUAGGAAUGCAAAAGCUUAAGUUAGCAAUCUCACCAAUACAUCCCUUCUCAAAUGCUUACAUUUCCAUUUUGUUUGGUAGAUGUUCUACCAAUCAUUUCUUAAUUAAACCUUAGCUGAUAUUCACAGAAAGCUCUCUGACAUUCUCUUAGAUCCAAUUUAAAUUUCAGUCUUCAGCACAGGUUGCUGUGUUUUUGUUGACUGAUCAAUAUUUUAAAGUAUUACAAUAUAACUCCUUUGCUCGCCAUACUAUAAUUAAGAGGAAAAUUGAUUCUUUAUAUCUAGUCUUUCAUUUAUCGGGUUAAUUUAUGUUUAAAACUUCCAUCUUUCCAUCUGUGUAUGAUCACGGUAAAAGCUAGACUUGAAUCACUAGAGUGAUAAAUUGCUGAAGCAUGAUAUGUAAUGCUAGCUCAAGUAAGGCGCCAGGCAUGCCUAAUUGAAGGUUUAAUCUAUUGCUUCAUCUGCAAAAUUUUGCUGUUGUUAUUGGCCAAGGAAGAGCCUUGUCAGGCUGCUGGCUCUAAUCUACUUGUACUUCAAACUGACAGAGAAUCUAUCUUGUUCUUUCUUCAGUGAGUUCCGCUGCUUCUAUGGGGAACUUAAGAAUUUAAACAAUGUUCUACUCUUUCACCGCAAAUAGUUCACUAAGUUUCUCCAUUUCUGCUUACUACAAUAAAAAAAGUCCUAUUUCAUCUUGAUCUAACUUGAAGUAAGCUCGGUUUGGCUAUCUCCACGAUAGGCAGGCAUUUGGAGUACUGAAGGUUUCUGUUAUCUUCAAUCCUAGUGAAUGUCUCAAUUCCAGACAUGGAUUUGCAGUUAUGAAAGGCUUUUGUUUAACAUCCAAAGCUGUAUCAGAUACUGCAGAUGUUUUUAGCAUGUAGAACACAAAUCAAUUGCGAAUUAACUAGAAUUUCCAAUUCUGUUCCACAUUCAUUUGAGGUACUUUCUUGUUAAUGAUCUUUUUGCGGUUUGCAGGCAAUCAAAGUGAGCUUCCCAUUUACAUAUGAUAUAAGAAGACAUACUUGAAACAUUUCAGUAAAAUAUUUUGAAAUCUAAGAAUUGUCAAACAAUUCCACGGUGUAAGAAUCUGUUACAAUGUACUAAGAGCUAGACCAUUACAUGCAUAGAAUCUCAUAGAUGAUGAAGAACUUGUCCAAUAUGACAUUUAGUAAUCACGCAAGCACUUCGCUUAAUGUUAGUCAACAGUGUGUUAACAAGCUACAAAUUCCUACUUCGGCCAAUGGCCAAGAAUGAGAUCCACGUUUUCUAUUUCAACACCCCUCCCCCUAGUGAAGUUAUGCAAGUCGAACGCUCGAUUGCUCGACUCAUUUAGGUUCGUUCGUGUUCGAUAACGACUUGUUCAAAAUUUUAUAUGAGUUGAAUUCAAACAAACAUUUUGACUCGAUAAGUAAUCGAACGAGCACGAGCCUUAUUCGCGAAUUUAAAUGAUCAUUGGUGUAGCCUAAUUGUCAUUUCACAAAAUUUAGGGUUAUAUGGUUAAUUUAAUGUUGAAUCUAUUGAUUAUUUGAGAGAAAGAGCCUGAAUUCAAGCUUCUCGAGCCUGUUCAAAAUCGGUUCGUUAUGCUAAAUGAGUCAAACUUGAACUAGGAUUUUAAUUAACUGAACAUGAACAGAGAUUUCGAGUUCGAAAAUUAUCAAACGAACACGAGCCUUGUUCAAGUAACUUAACAAAUAAAACUCAAACAUGAGUGACGAAUAGAACUCAAACAUGAGAUACUCGACUCGGCUCGCCUUGUUUACCACUCUAUCCUCCCCCGGGGGCUUCCCCCCACAAGGAAAGAAAAAAGAGCUUUCGUUUCAAACUUAUAUAAUGCAAUUCAUUGGUGAAAAGAUAAUUCAAAGUCAAUCUGCUAUUACUUGUACACAUUCACAAGGGCAGCAAGUCCACGGCUAGAGAGAGUCAUUAAAGUACUAAUGGAUUCUAAGUUGCACAAAUUGUACAAACAACACAGAGGUCGCCAUCAUACGGCCAUAGCAAGCAAGACUAUGUUCUCUAUGAACCCAAGCUGACACUUCCUAACCAAGUAGCAUCCACAGAAACAUGCAUAAUACAGAUUAAAUAACUAAGCCAAUGCACAAAGCCAUGAAACCAAUCAACGAACUGAACUUAGCCAUGUUGUUGCCUGCCCCUUCCACCUCCAAAUUGACCACCACCCCUACGAUUUGGUUUUCUACCUCCACGAUAAUGCUUACCAUGACUAAUGCUUCGGUACGUGUCCCGUUUACCAGUAAAAGAUGCAAGUUGCUGUGGUUCAUAAUUGUGCAUUGUCUGAGACAUGUUUGCUGGAACUGCUUGUUCUCCUACAUUUAUGGGGAGGGAAGCCUGUUGACCUGGUGUAGUCACUCCAAAUGGUAAACGGUUAAAUGCAUUUUGACUCGAGCAUGAAGGUUCUGCACCAAAACCUGACUGCAUGCCUGAUAUAACCAGGUUAGAAGGCAAAUUUUGACUAGCAUUAAUUUGCUGUUGGAACGACAAUAUGUUCUGCGAAGGCAUUUGAUGAAGCUGAUUAAUUUGUUGCACCCAUGGUUAACAUUUACGGGUAACUGAGGAAAGCCAAAACUUAGAGGCUGCUGAAAUGGGAUUGCAUUUGCCCCACCAGAAGUUGCGCUAAAACCAGAGCCCAAGGAAAGUUGGACAAAUGGAGAACCCAAACCAGGCUGAAAAGCCAAACCUUGUCCCAGACCAGAGAAUGACCCAUUGCCUUGAUCUGGUGGUUGAGCCAAAAGGGGCACAUGAUGCUUGGUGUGAUCAAAUGGUAGUUUACUCUCUCCAGAGAUCCCUGUGGGUUAGCUGCAGGAUCUUUCCUCGAAUUCCCGGACCAAUUUCCAAUUGCAAUCGAUCCUUUUUCUGGUUAUCGAAUUUGUCAUCAUUUCUACGCAUAUUCUCAUUUUUCAGUGUUUUACCAUACUCUGCCUCAUUUUCCGAGUUGCACCCUCCCACAUAAUAAGGAUUUCUCACUGUUGGCAUGCCAUUUGUUGGUAAUCCAGGAAAGCCAACAGUUUGAGGCUGCUGGAACGCAAUGCCAUUAGCCCCUCCAGACAACGCACUAAAACCAGCGGUUGAUGCCAGUUGUACAAAUGGAGGAGCCAGCCCAGGUUGACAAGUUGAACCUUGUCCUAGGCUCAAGGAGUGUAACCCAUUGCCUUGAUGCUGCGAUACAACAGCAGGGGGAACAUGAUGGCUACUGUGGUCAACUUGUCGCUUAGCUCCCUCCAUAGGUAAAUGUCUGUUGACUGUAGAAUCAUAUUUCGAGUUCCUAGACCAAUUUCCAAAUCUCUUUUCAUCCUUUUUCAGGUUUCCAAUUUUAUUAUCAUUGGUGCCCCUUUUCUUGUUCCUCUGCAUUUUUCUGUGCUCAGCCUCCUUCUCAUCAUCUGAAAAUUCUUCUUCUUCAAAUAAUUCUUCAUCAUUUGCUCCUGAUGCAUCAUAUCCUUUUGAGUAAAGACUCUUAUCAUUGAGGACAUGAUUUGCAAAUUCUGGAACAAAAGAUAUUGAAAUGCCUGGUCGGAUUCCAGCAGGUACUUCACUUUCUAAAUUGUACCUAACAAUGUAGUAAGGAUUCCUCACUGGACCAAAAAUUUCAUCCACUAACCCAGUGCGGACCUGCUUUCUGUAAUCCACAAUAUAGAGCCCUCAUUGAGAGGAUUAUGUUUUUCAACCCCUUCUACAAUGACUUGAGCCCCCAACAACCUGUAUGCUAGGAGAGUUAGUUAUAAACUAUUACAUAUUUGAUUAAGUCACCAUCUGCAUUUUAUGCUAGAUAAUUAUUGGAAAAAAACAAAGUGAUGCAGCAUUUCACAAUGUGUCCUUUGCAACUAGCUUUUAGAUUGAAUUGCUACUUGCUUCUAUGAUCUCACCGAUAAAACAACUCCAACUGGCUGGAUCUUAUGGUGUGGUAGUAGGGCCACAUUCACUGGAGGAACUGGAGGAAGAAGCUGCAGAAGAAAGAUUUACAAAGUGAACUAAUUGUUUAAAUGUGUCUGCAAUAAUCCAUGAACACAAAAUUUAGAGCAUAAUCAAUAAGAAGAAAGCAGGGUAAAAAUCAAGAAAUUUAGUCCACGUGUCAUACACUAGCCACUUUCUUCAAAGUUUAAACUUAAAUAGCUUGCUUCAAACCCCACAAUUCAAGUUGAGGAUUUUCAACUCUCCAAGUACAAUUUACAGGAUUAAGAGGAGCCUUAAUAGUUAUAAGCAUCAUGUUGUUAAUGGCAAGGGCACUUCUGCGCUAGAUCGAAAAUGAUCAAAGUGGUAUUUAAUAAGUAACUCUGAAGACACAAAAUCUUGGCUAGUUGGUACUAUAAAUAUAAAAAAAUAUAUAUAUAUAUAUAUAUUAUAAUAUUAUAUAUAUAUAUAUAUAAUGAAUAGAGAGAGAGAAUGAUUAUGGUACAGUUCUACUGGAGAAUCUCCAAUUUUUCCCUCCUUGGAAUGUUCUUUUGAUCACCUGUCUUUUUUUUUGUGUUUUGUUGUUUUUCUUUGGAGAGAGAGAGAGAGAGAGGCGGUUAAUGCAAACAUACAUCGAAGCACAAAUGUGACCAAGCUGAUUGAGAAGAAUAAGAUUACCGUGAGUUCAUUUUUGGACUUAGGAGGCCCCAACGUGGAAACGCCACUGCCACCCUCAUCCUCGUCAUAUUCAUCGUCACCGCUCCAGGCCACCAUCUCUUCUGGGUCAGAUGCGACUAUCUCACCCUCUUCCAUCUCUAUAUCUUGUCCUUUUCUUUCUUUGCUACUUCCCCACUUCUCCUUGCCAUCGACUUCAUCUUCGUCAUCAUCAUCACUACUCCCGGAUGAUGAGGAAGAGGAAGAGGAAGAUGAAGAUGAACUUUCAAUUUCACUGUCACUUUCACCCUCUGAGUCACUAGUACUAUCACUCUCAUCUCCUUCACUCGCAUUCUUACCACUCUUUUCUUCAGUAUUAUCUGCAUUCAUCAUCUCACUUGUUUUAGUGGUCUUCGCGCCAAAAUUUUCAACAACACCGAUCUCCUUACCACCAGUACCACUAAUGUUUGCCUCAACACUUUUCACCACAUCACAACCACAAUCAUCCUCACUAUUUCCAUUGUCACAACCCUCUCCACCUUGCUUUACACCAGUCAAACCGCCAAAAACAGAAUCUGGAUCGCUCCAACCUCCCUCCAAACUAACUUUCCCCAUCUCUUCCUCAAUAGAACAUCCCAGGCCUCCCGACUUGAUACCGUCAACCCCAUCUAUCCCCUCUUCAACCUUAAUUUUAUCACAAAACCUUUGACAACCCGUUUCACUACCCUUCUCACCUCCUACCAAUUCAACCUUUCUUGACCCAAAGAUCCCAACUUUCUUCCACCCUCUUCACCAACUAACCCAGCUGAACCUAUUUCAAGACUUUUAUCAAACAUCUCAGAUGCAACUUUUUCUGAGCUAAAACCAACGGAGUUUUCUCCCAAAUCAUUAGCCAUACUCUUACUAUAUGGCUCUGGGUUCUCCUCAAUCCAAUCCUCGAUGUAAUCAAAAUCAAGAAAAGAGUCUAUACAUGAGAAAGAAAGAUCUUCAAGGCCUAAAACUGAGAAAGAAAGAUCGUUUGAGCAUUCUUUUUCUUCUUUUUUAGGGUUGGGACUUUGCAGAGAACCUACCAUGUUCAAGAAAUAAAUUUAGGGCCUUGAGAGUCAGCAUUAGGGAUAUUGAAAGCAGGAGUUUAAGUAUAUAUAUGCGUCUCUGGUGGCUCAGAUUUUGCUGUUUGAAAUUUGGGUUUGCUUGGAGAAAAGGUCGGAUUCUAUUUGCUUAAACCCUAAUUGGCAAGGGUUUUAGAAUGUGGGAAUGUACUGUCUAGGAGAAUAUUGUGGUAGAGAAAUUGACGUACAAACAAACAGAAAAUGGGCUAGGCCCGAUUUUAGAGCCUCGAACAAUUUUAAUUUGGGGCUAGCCCUGUGUGUACGAAGGGCUCGAACAUCAUUUCGGAGAAUGUUAGCUCAUUCUGGGCUAUCGAAUUCUGGGGCAUUUUGGGUGAGACGUGUGGAGGUAGAAACUGAAACGGCAAAUGGGACUUUAUAGUUUAUACCUUUUUUUUAAUCUUUUUGGUCGAAUAAAUGAAACUUUACCUAGUCAUAAAUAAGAAUUAAUCUUUGGGAAAACGUUCAAAACGUCCCUCACAAUUUGCAAAAUAACUUUUUUCGUCCCUCACUUUUAAAAAUGUAAUUUUAUGUCCCUUAUAAAUUCACAUUGGUCAAAUUUGGUCCCUACUUAGGUUUCCGACUAGUUUUUUAUCGGAAUCCACCAUGUGACUUGGAUGUGAUCAUUUUUUAAGGGCAAAAUUGUCAAAUCAAAUUUUAUAUAAUUCGAUUCAUAAUCCCUCACAUUUCAUAAAAAUAAAUUUUUUCUCCCUUACAUUUCACAAAAUGAAUUUUUUCAUUCUUCACAUUUUUCAAAAUGAAAUUUUUUCAUCUUUUAUUGAUUAUGUGUGUGAAUAAUUUUUUUUAAAAUUCAUGUAUAUAUCUAUUUGAUUUCACUUGAACAGUACAAAUAGCAUGUAAAAUCAAAUAGAGAUAUAUUACAUACUAUUCGUACUACUCAAGUGAAAUCAAAUAGAUAUAUACAUGUGUUUAAAAAAAAUUGUUAGUUUUUCAUUUAUAUUCAUUUUCUUUUACUCGAAAUUUGAAAAUAAAGAUGACAUUUAAUCCUAAAUAUUAUCGAGUGUUUAUAUCGAAUUAAAUUUGAAUAGAAAAAGUAAACAAAAGAAAAGUAUGACAAAAAGAAAUAAGUGAUUGGUACUUUCAAAUUUUAAGACAAUCACAAGGCAAGUAAUUUAACUGUUGGUCUUAAAAGUGUCGAAUAGAAAUUUCAGAUUUAAACUGAAAUUUGUUAGCACAAUUAUAGAAUUCAAGUUAAGACCAUUAAUUAGAUGACCUUAUUAUACAACUCAAUAAAUAAAUUAUUACCAAAAGAGAAAGGUUACAAAUAUUGAAUAGGUUCAAAUGAUGAAAUCAUAUAAUAUAUACGUGGGUUUCAAACAAAAUUAUUAGUUUUAAAUCCCUAUAUAUAUAUAUCUAUUGAAUAACAUGUGUAUAGCUACGAUUAGCAUGUUUAAAUGAAAUUCAAUAGAGAUAAAUUACAUGUUAUUCAUAUUGUUCAAGUAAAAUUAAAUAGACAUAUACGUGAGUUUAUAGAAAAAAAGUUAUUCGUACACAUGAUCAAUGAGGGAUGAAAAAAUUCAUUUUGAAAAAUGUGAGGGAUGGAAAAAUUCAUUUUUUGAAAUGUAAGGAACAAAACAAUUCAUUUUGUAAAAUGUUAGGGACGAAAAAUUCAUUUUGUGAAAUGUGAGGGACUAUGAAUCAGAUUAUGUAAAAAUUUGAUUUGACAAUUUUGUCCUUAAAAACUAGUCGGAAACCUAGGUAGGGACCAAAUUUAGUCAAAAACUAGUUGGAAACCUAGGUAGGGACCAAAUUUAGUCAAUGUAAAUUUGUAAGGGACAUAAAAUUAUACUUUUAAAAGUGAGGGACGAAAAAAGUUAUUUUAUAAAAUGUGAGGGAUGUUUUGAACGAUUUUCCCUUAAUCUUUCCUAUAUUAUCAGUACAUACAUUGACAAUGUUGAAUGUAUGCCACAUCAUUUGAAUUUAAAUUGAGCUUUAGUUUAGAAUUUGUAUAUGUGACAUAUAUCUAAACCUGCUAAUAUAUACGCUAUCAGUGUAUAAAAGAUUUACCCCAUAAAUAAUGCGUCCAUAGAAUACAAUAGACACAAAAUUAUGAAAUUGAAAGGUUGGGGUUAGGAAUAUUUGGCAUUGCAUGAUAAAUAACUCUUUGGAUGCAAGAAAAUUAUGUGGUAAUGUUCUUUAAAAACUUUUUCACGAUUCAUCCUAUAUAAUAAAGAAAUAACUACGUGGCCUACCAAAAUUAAAAAAAAAGAAAUAAUUAUGCGACAGAUUUGAAUUAUGACCUCCCAAUCCAUCCAUCAAAGGAGGAAAAAAAAAAGGUGUCCCUCUACUCAAUAGUGAGAAAUGGAAUUCAACAAUAUGGUCCUUGGUGAUAAUGCCAUGGCAAAUUUCAAUGUGAAAUGACAAAUUAUACUCUCCAAUGGAAUGCAAAAUUGUCAUUUUAGAAGACACUUACUUAUUGUCGUAUUAACAUUUUUUUUUGGUCAAAAAUUGUGGUAUUAACAUAAGUGUUAUGGCAAAACCAUUUGCCUAAUACUCCCUCCGUCUCACUUUGAUAGUUCUGUUUCCCUUUUUCGUCUGUCCCAAAUUGUAGUCCACUUCCAAUUGAAGAAUGUAGUUAUAUUUUAAUUUUCCUAAAAUAUCCUUAUUUAAUGUAAGUUGUUGUUACUAUAAACCUACCCCAUUUAACGAGAGUUGAUUCUUUUUUUACCAUCAAUUCAAGUUCCCAUAAAGUUGUACUCUAAUUAAUGUGAGGAUAUUUUAGGAAAAUAGCUACCUAAAUUGAUUGUUCUAACAAAAUUAACUACUUUUUCUUAAAUUGUGUGAAAAAAAAAAUCAAGACUAUCAAAGUAAGACGGAGGGAGUAUAAUUGAUGGCUUGUUUGACAAACCUAUUGGGACAACUUUAUCUUUCAUAAGGGGAAAAAAAAAACUUUAUCUUUGAUGGGCUCCAGUACCAGUUGGGCAUUGAGGGAUUUCAAUUUGCUUAUAAAGAUCAAGAAACAUGUUACCAUGGUCGGUUUUCUCUCCCAUGUUAUAUGUUUAUGCAAACCCUCUUUCAACUUCACUUAAACCUUACACAUUUGAUUGUAAAGUCUCAAUCCUAAUCAUUCCUGCCACUUUAAAGACUGGUUAUGUUUAACUUUGGUAGACAUAUUAAUUAGUUUAGUACCUAUAACCAGAGUGUCAAAGCUCUAAUACCAUAUGGGCAGAGUGUCUUCACCCUUCUCUUUAUUAACUUUGUCCAUGCAUCGUUCACAGCAUUUUCAUUUAUUGGCGAAAGGGAAGGCUUUAAAGUCUGAAAUGGUCUUGAAUUCGGCGCUUCAUUACAUGGAAGAUGAAGAGGGAAGAGAGAGGCAAAGACAAGUCAAAGCACUUUAAUUUGCUUCAAGAAAAGGUCCCUUGAGUUGGUCCAAAUAAUAGAGUUGAUAUCAUAUAUUUUUACUAAUUCGAGUUCGAACCUCUCUUAAGAUAUCCAUCCGUCGUACAGGAUUUGCCUAGUGCGUCUUAUUCCUCCGUGUGAUUGACAGGCUAUUAUACGAGAUAAGAUUUACCUAAUGCACACCGCCAAAUAACAGGUAUGGGUGGUUUAUCAACAGAGAUAAGUCAACUACACUUUGACAUCCCACUUGGAACAUGGUAUAAAUUCCCAGCGUCAAUGAAUGCGUAGAAAAUUUUUGUUGGCUGUUUUUUUUUUCGAUAAUAAAAUGUUACUUAUCUUUUAUGUAUUGCCAAUUGGCCAUAUUACUCAAGGGACUCAAGUAGGUCUGCGACAAUUUCCAAGAAAGGUAGGUCGAUCACUAUUCUCUCAAACUGACACGGUCCAAAAUCAUGCAACAGCAGCAUAAUAAUAAUAAUAUUAGCGGUAGGUUAUCCACACAAGUCGUAGUAUGAGAAGGAUUUCUCAUGCACAUAGCACCGGAAACUAGACGUUUUUUUCAAGAACUUGGCACCUAAAACAUGCUAUACCUAAGAUAUAUGCUACAUGGGAAUUUCCCAUUGUUGAAAUCCUAACAGAAAAUGGGAAAAAAUUAGUAAAGAAACUAAUGCACUUUAGCCUAAGGUUGCUUAAGCUUGAACUGAAAAUGUGCUGACUGAACUAUAUAUAUAGAGAGAGAGACAGAGAGAGAGAGGUGAGGAGUUCAAUAAAACAUUUAUACCCUUUACUGUAGAGAAGGAUAUUUUUAUAGAAAAUUGUUACAUUUCUGUAGUCAAAAGCUUUCAUACAAGAAUUGGCAAUGCCAGAAGAAUGGCAGCCCAUAACUCUGCUCUACGUGCCAGGCCAAACAGUUUGAGCAAACCGAGGAGAACAGUGAACCGUGAACAACCAACCAACACAAAAUUUAUGAUGAAAGCUGUAAUCCUCGGGGCCCUGGCCGUCCCAUGAUGUUGGCACCAUCAUGCUUUAAUAUGGCGGCAGCACUGGCAAGAAAUUCUCAACAUGGAAGAUGAACUGUUUGAUGUUACUUACAUUGAUUGAAUUCAAUGUGCAGCAAAAAAAUACAGCUGCAAUUUCUCAUUCGAAAGGGUAUAGCAUGUGAUCUAUCUGACCCUAACCUAAUUCUCCUCUGUUGCAACAUAGCCUAACAGGUCCACUACAUCGGCCCUGCCAAGAGGGCUGGGGAUUAGGAGACUUGAGAGAAACAGCUAUCAAUAAUUUUCUACAAUCAUUCGAAUCGAGUUUUACUUGGAGCAUGUUGAAUUGAGUUUUUGUCUAGUUCGGAUCGUUUGCUAUAAUUUUUAUAAAUAUGGAUAAAACAAAAUUUAGAAAGAUACUCGAAUUUUUGUCAAAAUUUAUAAGAAUUACAUCAUUCGAAUAGAUAUGAAUAAAAUUCAGCUAGACUUGCCCUGUAUCCAAUACAUACAAAAAUUUACGGCGUAGGUAAUAAUAUUUUUUCCGCAAUUAAGAAUAUCAUGUCGGCCAAGUCGUUACUUUCAUAUUUGUGAUGUCUGUGUAUUGAAUGGUAUCAUCAGAGCACUGAGGCAAUCUAUUUGAAGCGUCAUUCUGGGUAAACGGACCACCAAGUUGCCCCAAGAUUGUGCUUUAGCCAGAAAGUGAUGUGAGAAACCGAAUGUACAAUCCAGCCUAUGGAGGCCAGCCUUGCUUUGAUUGUUGUGAGAAAUGUAUGCCCUAUCCAUUGUUAUGUGGGAUCACUCGGUUUGGAGAGGGAAACACAAGUAGGUUUUACUUGAGUAGAACAGAUUGCUUCCUCGUUAAAAUCGAAUUUUGUUGUCGCUUUGAAGAUUAUGUUGGUACACAAUCUCUAUCAAAGAACACAAACAUAAUAAAUAAAAAUAGUUUGUGGGAUUACUUGCACGUAAAAAGUUGAAUUUUGCUGUCACUUUGAAAUUGUGUUGGUAUAUGAUCUGUAUCAAAGAACACAAAUAUAUUAUUAAAAAUAGGUAAUGAUCGACAUUUCUUGACCCGUGAUGAUGACUGAAAUCGAAUUCAUUUAAUUUUUUUUAUUAAAUAAACUCGAUUUAGAGAGUUAAUGAUGCUGAGCUAGAUAGAUGUGGAGGUGUGUAAUAAGUUGUAACUGUUUUUCCCAAGGGGCCAUAUUUGCCUAUAUCUUUGACUGAUUCCCACUUCCACAGCUCAUACUUUUCGUGUCAAGUGUGUAUGGAUUGCUGAAUUAUUUUACAUAAUAUUUCGCUUAUAUUAUAAGCACAUCUUUUAUCUCUCAUAUAUCAUUUUUAUCGCUCAUAUUUUUAUAUUCUCAAUUAUCAUUUUAUCUCUCAUAUAUCACAUCAUAAAAAAUAUUACAAUAAUUAUUUUAAAUAAUACGCUAGCCAAACAUAUCAUUUCAAAUUAUUGUUUUCUUUCCUAAUAUGCUGUAGUUUGACGUGAAAUAAGAACAACUAGUGCAGUAACACUACUAUAUAGGCAAAAUUUUUGGUAGCUCAUCUACCAUACGAGAGAAAUGUACCAUUCAUUUUAAUUUUCUGUUGUGCAUUUAUAAUGCCUGGAUUCAUCUUUCAAUCCUGCAUUAGUCUAGUGUAUAUUUUAUAGUCUAGCAAGUCUUUCACCCUAAGGUUAGAUUUGUGAUUAGCCUUUCACCCCUGAUAAUGAAAGAUUUGUACAUCAAGAUUGCUCCGGACCUCCAAAUGAGAUUUUUUCACUUCAUUCUGUAUUUUUAUUCAUUUUUUUUAUUCCCUCCCCCUCUAAAUAAUCUCACAGAAAAUGAAAAGGCUUGGUGGCACUUUUUUUUUUUUUUUGUUUAAAAAACUCAAAUAAACAUAAAUAAGCCAAAAUUUUCCCUGAAGAUUACUGAUAAAAUAGUUGAAUCAAUUAAGUUUGUGUACAAGUUAUCAUGGAUCACAAUUCCAGAUAUGUAUUAUUCUGGACAUAAAUUUUUUCAGAAAGUCUUAUGUAAGAUUGAUACUUUCAGCUGCAGACUGAGAAGAAGGAAGGUGAAAGAAAACAGAUGAAACCAAUAAAUAAGGCCUUCUUUCACACCACUCACGGCAAGUGGCAAGUGGCAACAGAUGAAAAUAGAAAUAUAGAAUCAACAUUAAAAAUCUCUCAUAAGCUCAGAAACAGAUUAUUUCCUAUUCUGUUUUCUAGAAACUAAAAAUAAGUUAGUACAUCUAAACCAAUAUCUAUAAUCAUGAUGAACAAUCCAUGAAAAAGAACCUGUCAAAUUCAGUACAAAACACUCAUAUUAAUUAGUGGAAGUAUCUAAAACUGCAGCAACGAUUCAACUGCUCUGUUUUCAGCGGUAAGACCUGAGAAUUGCUCCACAAAAUGUACAUAUUAUAGCCCUCCAAGUCUUCCAGUAAAAGGGUACAUGGCAGAAUCUUGUAGCAGUCUUCAUAUCAGCCACACUAGCUCCUCCCCCGCAUCUUGAGCAAAUUCCGGCCGCCGGUUUGCUCCUCCUCACCUUCCUUGUCUGAUCAACUAGAAAACAGAAGCAAACCAUGAUUUUUCUUGAUUUUCUUGGCUGAAGAGUGAUGGAGUUAUUGAGCGGUUGAGAGAGGUUAUUUGUUGCUUGCUAAAAGGUUUUGUUUUGUGAAGGCUUUUGAGCAGGUGUGAGUUGUGGGGUUGGAGUUUUGGGCUCUAUUUAUAGGCAAAAGAGUAGAAGGGAGGAGUUAGAAGUUGGACAAAGUUCUGUUGGAUCUCUCUUGAUUGACUUUGCAUUUUGUAUAUUGCUAUAUUUUGCGUUAGCUAUUACUACUAUUUAUUUGGCAACAACCACCAGCAAUUGGGCUGGUGGCCACCAUCCAGCCAUUAAGGCUUGGUGGGAUGGGACCUUGAACUCUUGUCUCCCACCAAUUGCCAUAUUUAAAGUGGCCUUCAAAAAAAUUCAGGCGGGUGCAUAAUACACCCGUUUAGUCGGUGGUGGUUCAGUCCCCUCUAGAUUAUUCUUGGACCUCCUUAAAUCCGCCCCCUCUCCCUAAUGUAGGAUAGAUUAGGUUAUACAACAGUUGUCAUCUCCGAAAAAAAAAAAUUACUAUUUAUUUGGCACGUUGAUUGGUGGACAUUUUCGAUUUGGUUGCAUCCAGAAGAAUUCAUAAAAUCUACAUAAAAAAAUUUGAAGGAUAGGGUGUAAUCAAGUUGACUGCUAGGUUAACUAAUUGAGGGGAGGAUCGGGUUAUAGGUUGAGUAGUAAGAUGAAAUGGAUUGUAAAUAAGGGGUUUUAGAUUCAAAACCUCCCAUUAAAAGAAAAAAGGUUGAGUCUACUUGAGAGAAGGGGGUUGGGUUGGAUGGUAAGAUGAAAGGAAUUAUAAAUAAGAGAUUUUGAAUUCAAAUCCUCUCACUUAAAAAAAAUAAUUUUUGAGUCUACUUGAAUUAAAAUGUUUGAGAUCAAGUUUGUCGAAUCCUUAAAGGUCAAGUUUAACUUUAUAUUCUUUUACCUUACUCAAGUUCAACCGAACCAAAUCCAACUCAAUUGAGUUUCUGUGCCGUAUAUUAGUAUAUUUAUAUCAUUUUUAUACAAUUGAUAUGAUAGACAUUUCACACCAAUAAAUUUAAAAGAUUCAAAAAUAUUUAUAUAAGUUUGAAAUUCAGCUGAGCUUAACAAGCGUUUAAGCCUUUCAUAUUAAGCUCAAAACUCUAAUUCAUCAAGUUAUUUGAACUGCUCAAAUUCGAACUCAAACUCGAGUUUUGACCAAAAAAAUUAACAAAUAGUUCAAUUGAGUUCAGCUCAUUUGCACCAGAAGACAGAAUACAUUAAUUUCUUAACAACUAAUUAUGAGUUGAGUGGCAACGAACAACUUUAAUGUGGUUCACUAAAAAACUGAAGAUAGGAAACAGGUAUCCUACUGUUUAGCUGUGUCACUAAUUUUGGAAAGCAAAUAUGGGGAAACAUUGAAAAGGAAAAUCACAUGGGUUGCAUAAAAACAGGCUGGGAAACUUUGAGAUCUAAGAGAGCACAAAAAGGGGAACAAUAAAAAAAAGGAAAGAAUUGUGGACAUGAUAUUAAAAAUCAUUCAUUCUUAAUUUGAAUUGUUUUCAAUAUCUUCUGCUCGGAAAGUGACUGUACAGAUGAAUGUUUGGGCGUUUCAGUUUGUGAUGUUAAUAAAUUGCCUUGGAUUGUGUUUGCAUCUUGUUUGUUGACUCUAAAAUUGAUUAAGCAAUUUAAUUUCUUUUCUCUUGCAAUCGAUCACAUUCUUGCCAGAAACUUUUCAAUAUCAAAGCAAGGCUGCAAAAGAAUCAAGUUGCUUGUGACUCGGUACAGUCAAAACUCGAAUCAAAUUCGUUCAAUAUUGAGUUCAAGUCAAGUUCGAAUCGACUAAGUCAAAUUCGAACUCAGAGAAAUUUAACUCAUUAGUUCGUAAGUUGCUCGAUUAUAUAUAUAUUAUAUAUAUAUACAUAUAUAUAUAUAUAUAUAUAUAUAUAUAUAUAUAUACUAUUUUUUUUAUUUUAAUAGUCAAAUUCUUUCUGAUGAGACUUCCAAUUAGAGGUCUAGUAUUAAGAACCAAAAGCAGCGAAAUAGCAAAAGAUUUACAGGUACAGUAUCUCACUGUCCAAAUGACAAGAAAAUGCAAAGAAGUGCACAUUAAGGUCCUGUUUGAUAGUCCAGUUUAGUACUUAAAUUUAAUGGAUUCAGAUAUUAAUAUAUACAAAUUGUUUGAUAAUAAAAAAUUAACUAUUUGAAUUAAUUAAGUGGUACUGAAUUUUCUAGAUAAAACUUGCUAUUAAAUAAUAAACUAUUCACUUAUCACUGAAUAUGAUAUGUACUCAAAUCUAUUAGAUUUAAUAUUUAAUAAUUUUAGAUUUUAAAUUUUAAAUUUUAGAUUUUAAUUUUCAAACUUUAAUUUUAUCAAAGGCAGCCUAAUUUAUCCAUAUCUGAAGGCUCCAAAAUUUCUUCAAAGUGUCAUCCAACUUAAGUUUAGUCCAGAUUUGUUUCAGGUAGAGACAAAAUCAUUAUGGCCUUGGAUUAUUUCUUAUCACUCAGCCGUACGCGUGGAGUUGUUUAGACAGUUACAUGUUACAUGGUACAACCAUCUUGAAGUGAUAGCCAUGAAAUCUCUGCCUUACACGUGGGCGUCAGAUAGUCUGCUGUAUUAUGUUUUUAUUUUUUUUUUGUCAAACUAGUCUGCUGUAUCAUGUAGGGAGGCCAAAAUUGUUGAAGUGGAAUCCGGGUGGCACCAUUACAUCCUACUGCUGUUCUUCAAUGGCGUCUUCAGAGAGUUGUUAAAAUGCCAUAAAUUUCAAACCCUUUUUGGCAAUUACUUUUGAAGAACAUAAGGGCUCAUGCUUAGCCGUUACUCAGUCUUCACUUCAUAUAUACCAGAAAGAAUUAAACGAGUUGAUGAAUUGUCACUUUCCAGAGUCUAAAAAAUUCAGUAUUGUUAGAUUCAGAUCGGACCGGUCCGAUCGUAAAUCGAUCAGGACCGAUCCGAUUGUAAACCGACCUUUUUUUUUUCGAAUUGAUUUGUAGUACAAAAUUGUUUUAAUAAAAAAAUUGUAAAAAAAGGUUAAUUCAAUGAUUCCGUUUGACUGGUUGAUCUGGUUCUCAAGCUACUCUUUUUUAUUUUCCCCAAACAUAAUUUGAAUUAGCUAAAUUUUAACACUUUCAUUUAUUAAUAGGAAUAAGAAAACAUCAUCUAUUGAGUGUAAAUACCAAAAUCACUCGUUUUUUUGAAUGAUCUCUAAAUCAAGAUGUUUUCAUCUCUAUUAUCUUAUCAAUUUAGCAUCAAUGAUUCCAACUAGCAUUAAUUUGUUUUAAUUUAAUUUUUCAAGUAGUUUUGGAGAAUGGACAUAUUUUAGUCAUGAAUUUACAUUUUAUAUAUAAUUAUUAGGUGUAUAUUUGAUUGCAAGUUUAAUAUUUUUGGAACAUUUUAUAUGAUUGCCCGAAUAUAACCAAGUACUCAAUUUCAAUAUUUCUGAAACUUAUAAAAAUAUCAAAACAAUUAUAACAUUGUGCUGAUAUAAAGCGAAUUUUUGAGAACGGUCUGACCGAUCUGAUCAGUUUACCCCUGAUUUAACCGAGUCGCUAUCCAGUCAGAGUUUAACAAUAUUAAAAAAUUGGAGUUUAGGAACCAAAUAUUGAAAAAGAUAGGCACCUGACAGUGAACGGAUGAGAUGAAAAAUGUGAAGGUUAACAAUUUCUUUGUCGCUAAUCACAUCAUGCAUUAAUGUUUUGUGGAUCAGAGUUGAUCACUCGAUAUUUUGUGGCAGUAAUGGCGUGCAUACUUGUCAAUGCAAUUUGUAAUGAGCGUGAUUAUGUGUUACAUUUCUUGUUCAAUGCAGAAACAGAAGUGGAUUUCAAUCAAUUUCUUCCUGCUUUCUUCUUCAUUCUUUUUCCUUUUCCCUUUCUUAGAUAACAACGAUGACCUCAUUGAUCUUAAAGGGAUCUGGACAUUUGCCAGCUAUUACAUGCAAAUAAAAUCACAAGAAAUGUUCAAAUAAAUUAAAGCCUACAUGGUUAAACUUUUUGGUCAUGGACAAACUGCUCUUCGAGUCUAAAUGCAGAGACAGCUUAAACGAAGUGGCCAUGGACAAUAAUAGAAGCUUCUUUUUUUUUUCUGUCUUUCUUUUUUUUUUUCUUUUUCUAAUCUUGGAGUUAUGCAAAAAUUGUAAAAUUUUCACACUGAAACACUUUAAAUUCUACAAUCAUUAAUCGUUUAUCAUAAGUGUUACUUUCCUGCAAUAAAUGAAUACAUGAUGAUGCUAAGUGAGUCUUUUCAUCAAAACAGUACUAGUACUUUGACACCUGCUCUCCCAGUAAAGCCUUCUAUACAGAUAUAUCCAGUAUCCACUUCUCGUUUGGUAAAUUUAGCAGAUUUUCAAGCCUUAGCAAUCCGAGCACAAUAGGAAAAAUCAAAAUGUACCCAGUUUGUCCUUUUACUCCUUUGUAAUAGCUUCAGUAUUUCAUUUUCUUUAUUGGCCUUCUUCUUCAUUUCAUAUCCUUUUGAAGAAUAAAGUGAUCAGGUAAGUCACCUGUCACGAAUGGAAAAAGCAAGGUUGGGUCGCUCGAUAUAAUUAUCAACCCAAAAAAAAAAAAAAUCAUAUCCAUAAAGACUUUGCAUGACAAGUUGGGAUUCUCUAUAUUUGUUCAUCUAACCGUUUUUUUUUGGGUAAUUUCAUAGACUAAAACUUAAUCCACUUUGUGUGAACAAUUCUAUCAAUCUUAUCAAUAUGUAAUUUCACUGAGGGAAGGGCUAAAUUCAUACCCCUCCAUCCUAAAUCCCUAUCAUUGAUAUGGUGAUGAUUUAUAUUGUUAGCACAAAAACUUUACAAGAUGUGAAUUUAGCCUCUCCUCUUCUGUAAUAUCUAUUUGUUCUUGUUACAAAUUCUAGUUAGCAAAAUGGGCGGGAUAAGUUUGGGUAUGAGAUGGGAUUGAACAAUAUGGGUUUAAGUUCAACCCUACCUAUAAGUAUUUUGGGAUUAAUUUGGGUGAGAUGAGAUCACUUUGGGAUCCCAUCCAAUACUCAAAUCUAUUUCAUGUAUUCAUUUUUAUUGAAUUCUUCUUUUAGGCUUCGAUUGAAUUAAGAAAUUUGAUGAAGGAUUUAAACUCCAUCCAAGUUGCUUUAGUUGCAUAGAUUAUUUAAGAGACAUUUGAGUUUAUAAUUAAUCAAUUAUUAAAAUAUAUUAUAAAUACUAUAAUAAUUUACAAUUUACAAAUUCAAAUACCUCCUAAAUAAUCUAAACAAUUAGAGAAAUUUGAGCUAAUUUCAAAUCCUUCCUAAAAUCCCUCAGUCCAAAUGCAACCUUAUUGUUUUUCAUAUAUAACUUAUAAUAUAUGUAUAUAUAUAGGGAUAAUAUCAGAAACCUCCCCUGAGGUUUCUCUUAAUAUCACCUGGCACCCCUAAAGUUUUAAAAAUAUCACUUACCUCCCUUACUUUUGUUAUUUGUGUAACAAAAUUUUUAAAAACCCUAAACUACCCUUUCACUUGCUAAAUAAAAAUGUUCCUAAACCACUUUGUUCACUUCAAGAAAACCAUCACCUCAAAAGCAAUCUCUUAUAGUACCACUACAUCACAAUUCUAUACCCCAUAAAAAUAUAAAUUUGAAAAAAAAAAAUGGUAUUUGAGAAGAAAUACACUUGCAUUAAUUUAAUUCUAUAUGAUCAAAACCGAUUUCCUAUAAAUUUACAUUUUUUGACAACAUCUUCUCAACCCUUUACUCAAACCAUUAAACUAUACCAAUCAUUAUAAAAAUCAACCCAAAAUAAGCAAAUAAAUCAUACCCCACUUUAUCACAAUCACAAAAAGUAAAAGAUAAACAAAAUUUAAUUUAUUAUAAUUUACAAUAAAAUAUUGCAUAGUCAUCCAAAAACUAUGAGUAAGAGAGAAUGAUGGAGAAAAGGGAAAAAGAAGAAUGUGACUUCCAUUUCUUUUUUUUUUUUUAAUUUUUGAGCUUCAUUUAUUUGAUAUGUUGUGAAUUAUGUGUCAAGUGAGGGUUAAUAUAGUCGUUUUACAAUUACUAUGGGAGGUAAGUGAUAUUUCUAAAACCUCAAGGGUGCCAAGUGAUAUUAAGAGAAACCUCAAGGGAGGUUUCUGAUAUUAUCCCAUAUAUAUGUGUAUAUAUUAUUUUUUAUUUCCAAUGUUUCUAAAUUUUAGUUGAGAGAAAAAAAUUCCGAUGAAAAUGUAAAAAGACUUGUACUUAUGAUUAUUAUACACAUUAUCAGAUUUCUUAAUUCCUUAAAUAUUAUGAGACAAAAAUACUGGUACAUUUGAAAAUUGUAGCUGUGCAUUCUUCUUCUAUCAGGUCUCUAGAGGUGUACUUUUGGUUUGCAAAUUGUUUAGACAAGAAUUAAAUUUCUCAUGAGAUAUUUGGGUCCCAAUGGGUACUCAGGUGUUUUUCCAAAAAUUUCCAUUAAUUGAUAGGUCAUAUUAGGCCAAACUUCAAAAUUACUAAACCCAUCCCACUUAAACUCCAUGUGAGCAUGGAUAGCCCAUUGAGACUUAGGACAAAUUAUCAUCUCCAAAACUGAUAUUUUAUUAACAUUUAUAAUUUAUAUAAUACUAUUUUUCAAGAACUAGUUCACUAUAAUAAUGUUUGGGUAGAAAAAUUAUUUGAAUAACAAUUUAGCACUUUUUUAUAAUAUGAUAUGAUAUAUUUGAAAUAAAAGGUGACCGAUAAUAUAAGAAGUUGAUUGAAAAAUAUGCUUAUAAUGCAAGCUGAAUAUUAUUUGGAAAUAAAAUCCAUAUCCAAACAGACUUAUGUUCUAUGUUAUUUUUGUGAUUCUCAGAGCCUUGAGCCUUGAGCCUUGAGCCUUUGAUCUCAACCAGCCAAAGAGCCGCCAAAUUUUCAAAAAUCUGUUAGUUUCACACUAGCAUGCAAUUACCUUUCCUUCCUCACAUGACUAUUGAUGAAGCAAUUCUUGCAACGACAUUACAGCUCCUUUCUUCUCCCCAGGUCUCCCAGACCCACCUCAAUCCCACCUCCUGCAACCUCCCAAAUCAUCCAUCUCUGCAGAUCUGGUUAUCUUUCUGAUGCAAUUCACCUCCUAAACUGCACACAUUCAGACUUCAGCAAAGUCUCCUCACAACCCGCAAUACUCUACGCAACUCUAAUUCAAGCAUGCACCAAGUUAUCUUCCUUCUCACAGGGCCUUCAAUUCCAUGCCCAUGUCAUCAAAUCUGGCCUGGAAACAGACCGUUUUGUAGGAAACAGUCUGCUGGCUCUGUACUUCAAACUGUGUCCGAAUUUCCGGGACACCCGGAAGGUGUUUGAUGGAUUGUUUUACAAGGAUGUUGUGUCUUGGAGUUCAAUAAUAUCAGGGUAUAUUCGCAUGGGAAAGCCCGGGUUUUCGAUUGAUUUGUAUAUGGAAAUGGUGGGUUGUGGAGUUGAGCCAAACGGGUUUACGUUGUCUGCUGUUAUUAAAGCGUGUGCAGAACUUGGAGAGUUGAGAUUGGGGAAAUGCUUUCAUGGGGUUGUGAUAAAGUGUGGGUUUCAGUUUAAUCAUGUCAUUGCUAGUGCUUUGAUUGAUAUGUAUGGGAGAAAUUAUGAGUCAGGUGAUUCGCGGAAAUUGUUUGAUGAGUUGAUUGAACCGGAUGCAAUCUGUUGGACUUCGGUGAUUUCUGCUUAUACAAGGAAUGACUUGUAUGAGAAAGCUCUUGGAUUUUUUUACAGGAUGCAUAGGAAGGGUGGGUUAUUUCCCGAUGGCUUUACGUUUGGGAGCCUUUUGACUGCUUUGGGAAUUUAGGAUGGUUGAAGCAUAGUAGACAAGUUCAUGCUAAGGCAAUUGCAGCUGGAUUCUCUGGAAAUGUGUUCAUUGAGAGUAGUUUGGUGGAUACGUAUGCGAAGUGUGGAUUGGUUAAUGAAUCUCAGCUUGUUUUUGAUAGAAUGAUAGAGAAGAAUGCAGUUUCAUGGUGUGCAUUGCUUGGAGGUUAUUGCCAAAAGGGUGAUUUUGAAAAGGUUGUCGAGCUUUUUAGGCACAUGGAAGAGGUUGACCUUUAUAGUUUUGGAACAGUUCUCCGUGCCUGUGCAGGUUUGGCUGCUGUCCGCCCAGGGAAGGAAGUCCAUUGCCAGUAUCUAAGAAGGGGUGGCUGGAGAGAUGUUAUUGUAGAAUCAGCCUUGGUUGAUUUGUAUGCAAAAUGUGGCUGUGUUGAUUUUGCUUUCAGAAUUUUUUCACAGAUGCCAGUCAGGAAUUUGAUAACGUGGAACUCAAUGAUCUCUGGAUUUGCUCAGAAUGGAAGGGGAGGAGAAGCUAUUAAAAUGUUUAAUGAGAUGAUUAAACUGGGGGUCAAGCCUGAUCGUAUUAGUUUUGUAAGUGUUCUUUUUGCUUGUAGUCAUAGUGGGUUGUUAGAUCAAGGUCGUCAAUACUUUGUAUCGAUGAAAGAUAAUUACAGAAUCAAAGCUGAAAUUUCACACUAUAGUUGCAUGGUAGACCUUUUAGGUAGGGCAGGCAAGAUAGAAGAUGCUGAAGAUUUGAUAAAUAGUUCAGAAUUUAGAAAUGAUUCAUCUUUGUGGGCAGCUCUUCUUGGUUCUUGUACUACAGGUACAGAUCCUACUGUUGCGGAACGUAUUGCUAAGAAAAUGAUGGAACUGAAACCUGAUUAUCAUUUAAGUUAUGUUCUUUUGGCCAACGUCUAUAGAGAAAUUGGCCGGUGGAACGAUGCUCUUGAGCUCAGGAGGCAAAUGCAGGACAAAAGGUUAACAAGAUGCCUGGGAUGAGUUGGGUUGAAACUAACUCCGGCAUCAGUUUUUUGUCUUAUGAGAAUCCUUUGGAAAUGCCUGCAAGAGAUCUUGUUGAAGAGGAAAGGGGUUCAAUUUUGUCAGUGGAAUCAUAGAAUUAGUCAUGAAAUAUUAUCUCUUUCUACCUUCAUGAAGCCAAGAUAUAGUGAUUCAAGAUAUAUGGUGAUAUCAAUCAUUGCAGUCUUGACUUUCUUGUAUUUGUACGACAUUACGAUCAAGGUGAUAGUCUUGCUCCUCAAAGUGAUUUAAAGCAACUGCCUGAAUAACUACUUUAAGCAUGCUCCGCACCCAGAUUGAGCAGCAGGGUGGAAUGUUCUUCCAUGCUGUGAAGUUUGCCGGAUUGUUUACUUAUAACUGAACAAAUGUUAAGCUAAUCUAAUCUGAUGCUGUUUUAACAUAGCAACCUUUGUUAGAAUUACACUAAUGUAAUAUGGCAAUUGGCCUCCUUUUUUUUUUUUUUUUCCAUUUGUAUUCUUAAUGCACGUGCUGAUUCUGCUGCUACAUAUGAUGAUAAUAAGAUGUACAAAGUUUAUGCUGGCUCUUCCAGGUCUCAAAUAUGCAGAAAUGCACCUUUUGUAUGCAUGUUGAUGCAAAUCUGCUUACCACGCUUGCCCUGAUUUAACUAAGAGUGCAAAAGCCAAGUCGCCGAAUCAUUCAUAUAUCUUUCUUCUUUUAGUUUUUCCGGUCUAAUUAUCGAAAUUCGUUUUAGAAUUGUGUAGAUACUCUACAUCAAUACUCGGCCUUUCAAUUCAUGCUGUUGCUGACACUGUAUAUAAGAUUACACAACCAUUUCGGGGCCCUCAAUAACUGGUUUUUGUUUUCCUAUUGCCUCGUGCAUACAUAUUUUCAUUUCAUUAAGAUCUUCGUCACAAUUCUUGAUAUUAGAAGUCCAUUUUUUAUCCAUUUCUCAAGGACAAAUACAAUUACACAACAUGGAUUUUUCUUUCUGGUGCAAUUAAGCCAAGUACCUGAUUAGGAACUGAAUUAAUCUUCUGAAGUGUCAUUUCGCCAUCCUAUUCUUGAAGUAUCAAGUCAGAACAUGUAUAUUUCAAAUUACAAAGCCUGAAAUAUCAGUGAACUGUGAGUGAUCCACCAGCCGGUGAGAGAAAAUCAUAGUAUAUGUCACUGCAGCUUGAAGAGCAACCUCUGAAAUAGCAGUUUACUUGGCCAUGAUGUCCAAAUGCUGCCAGAUGAAGCACGGUCCAUCUCACAGUCUCUGUCUCCAUCUUUGUUGCCUGCCAAGUUCAGACGAGACCUAUACAACGAAAGCUGUAGGACAGUAGAAAGGAGUGCACAACCAACCCGAAUAAUCCAUAAGAAUUAAAACUGUAUCAAGCACAUUCAAGCUUCCUUGAAAUGACUGUAAAUUUAUCGUUCUGAAGUGAACUAUCAGACAACAAACAAGCAAAUCAUGAAUCAGGCAUAUCCAUUCUCUGUUUAUCAUUCUGAUCAUUUUGCUUUCUAUCUGCUUGACGCGAACAAGAAUUCAUACUAGUCAGAUUUCACAUGCUGUUCAAAUGAUGGAUGAUGUUAUUAAACUUCUUUGAACUAAUAAUGAGAGUUUAUCUCAUGCUCUCAUAUCCCCAUGAAAGCAGUAGCAAUGUAAUCUAACAUUCUUACCCUCAGUAAAGAAUUAAGACAUAGAAGAUCAAUAGUAGGCAAAAUUUUUCUGUACCAAUAACAUGAGGCCACACAUGCCCUUUAGUAGAAAGCAAGCUUACAAGGCAAAUCAUCAGGCAUGUGCAUCAUUUAUCUAACUAGUUUGUGGCAUCAUGCUAGGAACGUGUCAUUCAAAAUUCGAAGUUCAAAGUUCUCUGAUAUGGAAAAUGGUAUCCCAUCAUUAAAGAAACUAUACUCGUGAGCUAUCUUUUCUGGAAGCACAUGCACAAACAAAUAUAUUGGGCUAUUUACACCAAUAUUGCUAUUUUUGUUCUGAAUAAGAUAAAUAUCUAUGUAUUAUCCAUGGAUUACUCAAAAACUAACUUCAACUUCCAACAUAUCUCACUUUAAAGUCAAGAAAUCAAAAUCACAUAUGAGAUCAAACACAAAUGGCAUUCAUGUUGGAAACCAGAAAUCCACCAUAUGUGAUCCCAAAGAGUAAUUAUUGAGACCAAUGUUUUCCAGCAAAAUUCCAACACAAACAGUUCAGAAAACUUCAGACAUUUCAUUAGAAUCGGUUGUGUGAAGAAUAUGAGGUAAGAAGUGUAUGUUUAUUUCAUGCAGCGCCUUGAAUUGCUGUAGGUGUCAUUGCCAUGCACAGGUUGGUCCAAAACCAUGAAUUAGGAUUAAAAAAGGUUUACAGGUGGAAAAGGCUUUGGGUUUUGCACCCCAAAAGUGCAUUUGGUUUGACUGUCAGUUGUUUAUUAUGUAAAAGGUUAAACAGACUAUGGAGAUGCAUCAUUGAAUCUUCAUAUGCAUUUGAAAUAUAGUGUCUGUCGAUGCUGAUGAUGUCUUGAUGUGUCUGAGAGUGUGUUGGUGUGAUUUGGAAAAAGAAGAGGAACAAAAGUAACGACAUAAUCAGAGAAAGAGAAGUCCAUUUCUUGAAAUCUCUACAUUUACAGAAACCUAAUAAAAGCAUCAGUAUUUUUAAUUUUAAUUUCAAAUUCAGAGUAAAUAUAGCAAUGUUAUUGAAACUAACCCCACAUAAAUUUACCACUUAAGUUACCUGCCUAUAUAUUUCUUUGGUUCUUUUAUUCUUUCUGCUUCAUAGUUACCUCACUGAAUGGAAACAUAUUCUACAGAGGAAGAUAGCAAGAUCCAGAAGAUAACUUGCUGUCAAAUUCAAUUAGGAUUAGAUUGUCCAGAAGCUGUACUAACACUGACAUCUUGUCUGACUCAGGUCAAUGAAUUUUUUGCUAAAGGUAAGCACAACUCUUCUGUCCAGUCAUCCAAGCAUGUUUGCAUCCUCUCAGGUUUAAAACAGCUUCAUAUCCCAAUGUCAGACAAUUACAGCAAUGAAUCCUCAGAAGCUUUUCGCAUGGUGAACUUAAUUGUUGUUGCCAACAACAGCUCCUUCAAAAAUAUUUGGAAGAGAAGGGCAUAUAGUACAUUAAAAUAAAAAAUAUAUAAAUUCAAGCUCUUUUUAUGUUCGCAAUUUAACGAGUUUGGUAUUUUUUAACUCGAGUUCGAGGUCGAAUUCGAUAUUGAUCGAAUUUGACUCGAGCUCGUAUUCGAGCCGCUCGCCGCUGCCCUCUGCAUCAUGAUACGAAAAAAAAAGAUAUGCAACUAAUGAGCCAAUUACUGGUGCAAAUGACUUAAAAAACAAAUCCAAACACACAUUUGCCAAAACGAUAGGGGAGUUAGGUACUAUCUGAAGCAACAUGACAAAAUUUUCUCAGUAUCUGUAGCAAGAAAUAUUGGAAAGUGAAAAAGUUCUCUGCAGUUUCAUGUCUGAGAUCAGUCUUCAAAUCCGACUUGAGUCCCUUCCGAAGAUGAAACGUCUCCCCCAAUCAGAUAUUACCAGCAGCCUUGUGCGCCAACUUACUAGCUUGCUGGAUUUGAAACAAAGCAAAACGUGAAAAAAGAAGUCAAAGUGGAACCACAUACAGUUCAGGGGAACAAAGAAAUCAAAACUUGCAGGCACAUAGAUGAUAGUAGUAUUUUUACCUAGCAUAAACUGAAUACCAAAGCCACUGCGUGCUAUGACCUAUGGAAACCCAAUCUCCUGGGAGUUGUGCUGCAGCUUGUUCUCCACCCAGUGGUGCAAAUUGUCCAAAGUGUUUGUACCUUUAACCGUAAAAGUCAGCAGAUAUUAAGCAAAAUAGCCAAGAUAAGGGACCAUUAUUCUUUACUGUUUGGUAAAAAAAAAUUUAUUGGCUGCAAUUGUUGCAAAUCUAUUAUGAUCUGGUUCCAUAAAAACCUUGUCUGAGACAAACAAGCUAGUGUGUUCUUCUCACUUUAUUGCUUCACGAAGGGCAGUAGUUUGAAGAUUGACUGUUAUAUCAACCAAUAAGAGCUUUUGCAAAUUGCAAAAACUGAAAAAAAAAAAAGAAAGAAAAUAUAUCGUCUGAAGUUCUGUAUGUAGAUUAAUCCUUACCUAAAUGGACGGAAGCGAUGCCUUCCUGCUGCUCUGAACCUUAUUGGCCCUUCAGGAUACUUUUCACAGAUAUCCAUGCGGUUGAAGCAGUCAGCAAGAUAAACUCCUUGCUGGGAAGCCACCUGAGUACCGAACAUCAAAAAAAAGAGGAAGCUAAGCUCAGGCAAAUCAGCCACACUACCCAAAAAGAAGAAAAAUCCUUUCCAGUUUCCACUUACCUGUGCUGUUGGAGGAAGACUUUUCAUCUGUUUGUCCACUUCAGCAAGUGCUUGUUUGAAUUUUUCGAUGUUCAGUUCAUCAUCACCGUCUUUACUCUUCAGUAGUUGAAGAAAAUUCCUUAGUUGGUUUUUCUCCAGAUGAAUCUGUACCUGGGGAUACCUUUCAGCAAUGUCUUUGAUAACCCCUUUAAAAUCAUCCACCUUCAGGGUACCAGAGUUAUUCGUAUCGGCUUUACUAAAUAUUGCUGCGAUAUCUUCCUGAUAAAAGAUCAAAUCCGAAGAUUACAGUGAUAUCUUCCUCAGAAAACAAAACAAGUAUCCAAAGAUUUGCUACGUAAUCUUGACCACAGGCCUCGCAUUCUAUGGCAAAUGAUGCAUCUUAAGGAGGCCGGUCAGGGAGGACGAGAAAAUAGCACCUAAAGAAAUGUGAACUGUGACUUAAAUCCAAAGACUAAGGUUGUGUAUUGCUGCUCAUGCUAACAAUUAAGUAGAAAUAAUUGUUGCAUACCAUUACUUUACGUUGGUUGAUUGUGGCGCAGUCACCUAAGGCGUAUAUGCUAUCGCAACCUUCCACCCGCAGCCAUUCAUCAGUUGCCAGAACUCGUCUACUGGUCUGUCAUUCACACAAAGUAAAAAGUUGAGCUUAGUAAUUUAUAUGUGAUAACAGAUGAUAACAAAAACUUUUGGCGUAAGAAAUGUUUGUAGCAUUGUAAUAUCAAGUGCCAAAUCGAAAAAUCAGGCGUACAGGUAUGAAAUCAAAGAGAAGAAUUAGAGAUGCAUGCCAUACCUGACCAAUCUGCUUCAUAAAAUCCAUGAUAACAGGUCGAGUUCCAAUGCCAGUAGACCAGACAACCAUUCCAAAAGGGAUUUCUACAGUUUUACCAGAGCUCCUCUCUUUAGUGGAUAUCUCCUUAUCAGAUACCUUUACAACCAUCGAUCCAGUUUUUACAUCAAUUCCAUCUCUCUGGAACUUUUCUUCAGCAAAUUCAGUAAUUCGCUUAUCAAACCUGGAUAAAACAAAGGGAAUGAACUGUGAAAACAAUCCACAACUGCCAAAAGCAAACAAGGUGAUUUGGAGAAUCCAUAUAACUGUCAGACCCAUGUGCAGGUGACAUGGAAUUGUAAUUUUAACAUGAUCAAACUCCUGCAUUUUGAUUGCUGACAUACUCUACUGAACUUCUGUGCCAUAAGUGAUUUAAACACCCUCCUGUUUUUUGUAGUACAAUCAAGUGUUGAACCAAAAUUUCGUCGUAAAAUAAAAUACAAGGUAAAAGACUAGUUACAACACAGAGCAUGCUGAUACAAAGCAUUGGCUAUGAGUAAACAUUUUGCUUAGCUUCUAAUUCGAGAAAAACAAGACUAGUUUCUUAUCAUAUAUAAUAAUAAUAUAAUGUCAAAUGACUGAUUAGUAUAUUGGCUGUAGGAGGCCUUCCUUACAUGUUCAGAAUGUGAUCCGCAGCUUCAAGAAGUGUUAUUUUGACAUGUUGCUUAAGAGCAGGGUAAAGCUUGGCUAAAUCCUCAUUGACGAAAUCAUGAAGCUCUGCAGCAAAUUCCACACCAGUUGGACCACCUCCAACAACUACGAAAUGCAGGAUCCUCUUUUUCUCUUCUUCACUUACAGUUGGAAGGCUUGCCCUCUCGAAACAGUCUAUGACUGUUCUACGGAUCCUUUGAGCAUCUUCGACUUCCUGAAUUCAUGUCAUUACUUUCACUUCCAACACAAAAUAAUGGAAAUGACACGCACCUACAUUUUGUUCUUUUUCUCUAAAUGGCAUUAUGGCUUGUCAAGUUACCUUCAAAAAGUGAGCAUACUCCACAACACCAGGGGUGUUAAAUGUAUUUGCACGUGCACCCAUUGCUACAACCAGGUAAUCAUAAUCCACUGUAAAUUCUUCUGAACCACCCAAGUUGUUUUCUUGAGUUGAGCGACAGCACACCUUCUUGUUUACUGUAUCAAUCUUGUAGCAUUCAGCCUCCUUGAAGUGGACAUCAAAUUUUUUCUGAGGCAGGAAAGCAAGUAUAGCUGUCAUGUCCUUCAAAUGGUUACAUAGGUUUGGCUAAGUGUAAACACUACUUAUCCACCACUGUAAUUCUAAGAAGAAGCAUAUUGUAUCAAACUUUGCAGUUAUCAAAGAGGUAGACCACUGUGAUUGAAGUCCACAAUUGCAAUAGGUACUUCUACAGAUAAAAAAAUCAUAUAUAAAGGUGGAAUUGUCUUUUUGGCAGACCAUAAAGGUUUCAUUAGGAAUUUAGGACCUGACAGCCAAAGGGAAAAAGGAGAAACAAGGUUUUCUGGUUCUUAGACAUAUUGCAGAACUACGCAUCCAAAGAUUUGGUAUGAAAAUGUCCCCUUUUCAUGUCUUUUUCAGAAUUAAUUAUUAUCACAACAUGGUAAAUGAUCAUUUAUCUCUAUUAAAGAGGACUGCAACAUGAGUAUGGCUUUUGACUCAUGGAAAAGUUUCCAAAUCAUAUCAACCAGCAAUUAUACAAAGCUUUUGUAGCAGUCCAUAGUUUCUAAUUUAAUGUCAUUGCCAACUAUGUAAGAACAUAGAGGAGACAUGCCUAAGAGCUAACACCAUAACCUUUGAAAUUAGCAUUGCCUCCUAAAAAGUAGAACUUAGAACACAAAAAUUCAGUAUGAAAAUCUAUACCUUCCUAACAAUGCUGCGGAUUGGCUCCACAAUGCUGCGUGCUUCAACCGUGCCAUUGGUAACACUUGGUAACAAAGGAGUAAAUGCAAAAUAGUUUCGCGGUGAAAUAACAUGAACAUCAUAGCUGGGAUCUUUCAAGCUUUUAAGAAAGCUUGUUCCAGCCCAUCCAGUUCCUAGAACCACCACUUUCUUUUUCUUGACAUCAUGAGCUGCAUCAGCAUAGCCAAAUUGGAAUGGCCUGGCAUCAGAGAAAGCAGCUACACCCCCACCACUGCAGAAUCCAGAAUUCAAGAAAAAAAAAAGUAUCACAUCUCAGAUAUCUUCAGAACUAUUGUUUGAACAAUUCUUACCCUGCAGAAUCUUCGUAUCUUUUUCUGUUUAAUAUUAAUCUUGUUUGUAGAGAGGAUCAUGGCAUUAUAUUCUAAAAAAAGAAGUGUACUUCAACGAAAAAACUUCAAUGUAAUUGAGGUGCAAAUAUGAAUCUCAAAUUUUCAGCCUCAUUCACUGUGGUACAAGAAGUGGAAACUAUAACAGUUAGUGUAUAUUUCUGUUAAGAACAAUAAAGUAUUAAAUUGAAUACCAAAAAUAGAGUUUCAAAAGGGGUUGAUUGAAUUUUGAGAUGGAGAAUAGUUAAGAUCUAUCAUGGCAAUUAAUAAGGAUUUGUUCGUCUACAUGAAUAUGCACAAUAGAAGUAGAUUCAAAUCCUAAGCUCCAACCUUCAAUUAAAAAAUGCUCAUACAAGCGUAAAAAAUUACCACAAACAGAAGAGAAUAAAUCCUGACUGCAGAAAAGUUACACCUUACCAGUGAAUAAAGCAAAUAAAGACAUAAUUAUGAGAAGAUUUUAUGAUACAUUAUUUUCUUCCAAUAACUUCAUGGAUUGAGUUUUUAUCAACGGUGGAUUUUUUACAUUAAUACGUGUAGAUGUAUGUUAAUUAUGUAAAACAUGACAUUCAAAAUUGAAAUUGGAUUACAUAGCAUAGCAUGCAUCUACACCUGCUCCGGUUGUGUAUGCAUUGUUAUCCUAUCUUGAUUAUGACAGCCUAAACAAUGUUAUUUGCUUAUAGUUAUAGCCAUUGAACAAAAUCAAAUCUUACAUUCAGCAAAAUAAAAAUCAAAUCUGAACGCACUACCACCUACUUUAAACACAGUAAAACAUACACUGAAAACAAUAAUUACCAUCAAUAUGCAAAAGGAAUUCUUUUCCAAGUAAAAAAAAAAAAACGACAAGAGCAAACGACAAGAAAACUUUGUAUAACACGUAGCCUGUUACAUAGGAAUUAUUAGUAACGAAACAAAACAGAGAAAAUAUAACAAAAAAUCCUACAAAAUAUACAUUAUAUCAUAAAACUACACCUUCUAAUAAUUAAAAAAAACAUAGAUUUAGAUUGUAGACCUGACAGAGAGGACAACAAGAAGUUUAGUGACAGUGGGGUGGUCAUGAAACGCCCCUUUGGCUCUCUGGUAAAAAUUAUAGCCUCUCAUCUUUUUUUUUUUUUCCCUUAACUCUCUUUUCUCUUCUGCUACUUCUUCUCUUCUCUUGAGUGAUGAUCAAGAAACCCUUUAAACUCUACUUGCUUAUACAAACAAUCUCCGUAAAUAAUGAAUCAGUAUGAGAAGUUAACAUGCUAGAGGACUACCUCCUUUGGUAGGUUUCUUUCUUGCAGUUUCUAAUGUUAUUAGACUUCCCUUAUGGGAAGAUCAUGGUUUUAAUGUCGGAGUAACUGUCAAGCAAUAUUAAGCAGUCAAACACCUAGGAAUAUGGACACUUGCCCAAUUCUUAUCGAACUACCGGUUUCCUGCAUGCUCUCAGUUUUCUUGGUAGGUAGGUUUUCCUACGCCUGUUUUGUCUAUUACACCACACAAAUUUCGAUUUCUUCGCUGGUUAAUUCUAUUCUUGGUAUAUUCUACUAGUAGUACUAGAGUAUUAGUAGUAUUAGGCUUGUGUUUGCCUUUUUUUUUUUUUCCUUUUUUUGACGACCAACAACUCCUAUUUUGUUUAGAAAUUUGUAAGCAUACUAACACAUGUUUGUAUGGGCUUUCCUGUUGGUCACUUCAUUUAGGUUAAUCUGAUCUUUUCGUUGUUCUAUAGAAAAUGGCCAGAUUGAUUUGGUGUAAACAAUUCAUUGUUAUUUUUUAGUAUUCAUUGUUAAUUUUAAUAAAAAUUAUUAAAAAUUAUUUGAGUCGAAUUGAGCCUUAACGAGUCGAAAAUCUUUAAAUUUAAAUUCGACUCGAUAUUACAAACGAACCCUAAUUCCUAUUCGAAUUCGUUGAAAAUCGAACUCGAAUCAAGUCCUUAACGAAUUGAGGCGAAACUGUUCGUUAAGGAAUUGGUUCAUUUACAGCCAUAUUCUUCUCACUAAUCCACUUUAAUUCAAGUACUAACAUCACACAACCAAUGAAAUAGGUGUGUAUCACUUAAAACAUGAUAGCUUAUAGAUAAUUGCUUGAUUUAAUUUUUUGUUUGAUUAUUAUAAUUUUUUUGUGUUAACUUUUUUAAAUUUACUACUAUUGGAUUUUUUUUUUGUCAAAUAAUGAAUUUACAUUCAUCAGUUCAACUAAAGACAUUUUUUCAAUCACUUGUACACGUAUCGAGUGCAUGACAGCCCAAAAUCUAAUCUUGGAUGCGUAAUAAUGUACACACAAAUUCUACAAGAUAAGAAGACAUGUAAAAUGCUAAAACGCCUUUGUUAUGUAGCAGAACUUAAAUACAUCUAAUCCUAAUGUAAACAAAAAUAUAGGACCUACAAACUAAAAAACCUCUCUAUAGUGUAUACAUAACUCUUCCCUUUGAUUUUAGUCAUUAUUCAGCUUUUAGUAAAGACCUGCUUAAAUUGGAAUUUCUUUUUAGUCACUCACCCAAAUUUAGUAAAGACUUGCUCCAUCGGAAUUACAGAAUUCAGAUUCAAUCAACUCCUCAUAUUUAGGCAGAACAUUUGUACAACUACUCAAUAACGCAACCUACAAGCUAUAUCAUUUGUUAUCAUUGGCCAACUAGUGUUACUCGAUAGGAGUCUCCCUCUAAUUUAUGCCAAAUAAAAAAUUAACUUUGAACCACAACUGUAUUUGAAAUUGUAAUUGUAGGUGUAAUUUGCACGAAAAGCCAAAAGAGAAAGGGAUAAUUUUAGUAACCUCCCCUGAGAUUUCUCACAAUAUCACUCAGGUCCCCUGAAGUUUUUAAAAUCUCACUUAUCUUCCUUGAAUUGGCAUUUAUUGUAACAUUUUAGCCCCUUUGGAGGAAAUGCAAGAAAGAUAAAACUUUUAUUCUAGUACUACUUUCUGUUAUCCUACUUAUAAAGUUUGCAACAACAAUACAAAACAAAAUAAUGUUAACUUUUUAUAAGGUGUAAAUUCCUUAACUUAAACUAUUUAUUUUAGUUGUUUUGGAACAAAGUAAAAUUUACACCUUGACGAAUUCACACAUAUAAAGAGAUUAUUUUAAUUUUCAAUACAACUUAAACUACAUCAUGUAUUAAAUUGUAUUUCCUAAAAAAAUUUCUUGACUUUCAUAUAACUACUGUUUACAAAAUUUUUCAAGGUGUUAAUUACUCACUAAAUUCCUCAUAAGCGGUUGAUCUCAAUAUAGAGAAAUAUAGACCAUUAUUAGUUAUUAAGAGCAAGGGUAAUAUUACUCACUAAAAAACCUCUCUAUUUUGUUUUGAUUUUUUGGUUAAAUAGUUAUUAAGAGCAAGGGUAAUAUUGUCAAUUUGUAACAUUUGAUAAGAAUAUUUAGUCUUGUCAAGUUGAUAAGAGAUAAUAUUAUGAGAUUAUCCCCAAGAAAAAGGUAAAAUAAUUUGACUAAGUGGUACGUUUUACAUAAUAUUUACAGUUGCUGAAGAUAAAAUAAAGGAUAAGCAACUGGUAUUCCAUGAAGAGAUGUGGAAUUAUUAUUGGUGUCGGGGAUCGAAAUUCUGCUCAGCCAUUGUUUUCUACCAUUUUGGGGAUGACACAAAACACAUUUGUAUUGGAGCAGAUUUGUGACAAAAGGAUCAAAGCAAGCCUCAGCAUUUUCCCGUUUGAUCGAUGAUUAGGCCACUGAUAAUAAUUUCUCAUAAAGCAAGAGGCGGCCAUUGCAUGUAGAAUUUGAUACUUUAACCACGAAAAUGUUCAGAUACCAAGGCAAAGAUGUUUUAUUUUUCCAUGCACUGAUAUUCAACCAACACUUAACAUAUGUGGAGAAACUCGUCCAUUCUCAAUCUUCUUUGCAGCCAAAUUCAACAGCAGUGAACCAUAGCACGUUGUCCCAUACAUACCAAUUAAGUGCAACAGCACUGCACAGUUAUGACUAGUUACAUUAUGAAACUCCAAAUGUAAGUGAACUCCUGCUCUGAAAAUUCAAAAGCAAUGCUUUUCUAUUUCUUUUGGCGGAAAAAGAGAGGGGGUGGCCGGCUGGAUGCAGGGAGUUAGGGAAAGAGGUAUGAAGGAUGUACACUAGACGGGGCAAUCAGUGAGAAACUUCCCAGAAACGGGUUUUCACUUAGAGAAUGGCUACAGCCCUUGGAUGUCUGCAUCAAAUGCGACUUGAAUCUCGCCCAAAAAAGAAUCUCCUUGACCAAUCACUGACCACCAACAACCUUGUUCGCCAGCUAACUUGCUUGCUGCAUAUAACACAGAUAUCUGGAUUAGAUGAGUUCAAUGCAGCCCAAAACUUAAAAAACACAAGCAAAUGGUAUUUUGUCUGUUUAAAAAAGUAGUGGUUACCUUGCGUAAACAGAAUACCAGAGCCACUGUGUGCUACGACCCAUAGAAACCCAAUCUCCAGGAAGUUCGGCUGCUGCUUGCUCCCCACCCAGCGGAGCAAAUUGCCCAAAAUGCUUAUACCUGGGGUUGGAAAACACUGACAUGUCAACAUCUACAAAUUCUGACGGGAACUUCUAUCAUUUGUAUCUUUGUCAAUACGGCUCAAAGUCUCAACUGACAGUUGUAGCUGGAGAUUAUCCUUGGGGUCAUUGCAGCACAGUGAAGUUGCAACUAAUUUUUGUAGCCAUAACAUCCAACGCAUGAAUUCCCUCAUAACUGAGAGGUUAUAGUCUAUUUUCUUAAGGAAAAUAACAGCGUUGAAAGGCAGUGCCAGACGUUGAUAUUAAACAUAUUAUUGAUUUUUUUUUGGGGAGGAGGGGGAGGGGGGUUUUGGUAGGCUGUGAGUCUCUCUAAUUUCCUACUAUAUCUGUAAAAUGAUCCUGCUGUUAGAUUUUUCCAGUACACUAUUUAAAGAGCAAAAAAAAGCACAGGCAAAGGUAAAGUUUAAAGUUUAAAGAAUUAGCUUGUGUGGUUUUGACUUAAAUGUACAAGAUAUCUAGCAAUUUUUUGAACAGCUAUGACAUACAACUACCAUCCAGACUCCAUCCUCAGUACCUUAUCCCUUACAAAACUCAUUCCUAUAUCUAUCCCGAGUAUCUUCUAGGAAGAUAGGAAAAAUUUUUCAAGGAACAAAAAAAUCAUACUGCAACAGAAGCUUGCUGGAAAUAACUAUAAGAAUCCUAAACUUAAUAGCAAAGUUGAGCAAAAAGUACAAUAAUUAGUCUGUUGAGACUGACAACCUAUUUCAAGAAGGAAAUAAAAAAAGCUUGGUCUAAAUUUCUCAACGGGAAAGCUUGUUCCCUUUUUAGAGUGCAACCACAUGAAGUAGAACGUGGGAGCAGUCCCAGAAUUAAGGGACAAGCUGAAUCUUAGACCAAAUAGAAGAAUUACUCGACAAAACUGUUUUGAAAUUAGGUAAGGGUCCCUGAACAAUUCUAUCUGUAAUUUAAGUGACACUAGUGUACAAUGCAAUAUUAAGAAAACUCCCCUAUUUUGACCUCAAAAUUUUCUCCUAUUUCACCAAAACCCUAGAGAAUGUUGAAAAUCCACUUUCUAAGUUGAGAUACCUGACAUAGAAAGUAAAUCUUUCCACAAUAAUAAAAGUCUUUUUAAGCCCUUUUCAACAUCUUCAGGUUAUUUCUAAGUCCUUUUAAGCUGAGACAGCAUUAUUUAGACAUCUUCAGGCAAAAUGUAAUCUUCAAGUAAAACUUUCCGUGAUAAUAAGCAAAACAGAAACAACCAAUAAAAAAGCUUUCAGUUGGAACAAGGGAUCUGGCUAUCAAACAUACAUGAGUGAGAAGAAAACCACAAGAGUUCAUUUAGCAAGACCAAGACUUUUGUAAUUAGACACUAUGUAUUAAGUAACAGAAGGUUCAUUAGAUCAUAUUAUACUAGAGUUGAUUUAGCAAGACCAAUACUUUUCUAAUUAGACACUGCAUUAAGUAACAGAAGGUUCAUUAGAUCAUACCAGUAUUUCUUUAUUACAAGAUUCUUCAUUUUCUUUGGCCAUAAAAGUUCUUCUAGUUUCAUGUUGAGGCAAAAAUUUAUGCCAUUGCUUGUUAUUGUGAGAUGGUAAGCACUUUUACCUUGUUUCUGAUAAACUUUGGCUGCUCUAUCAUAUCUAUGGAGAAGAGUUGAUAGUCAAGACUGAACUGGUAUGAAAUGAAAGUUUUGACUAGUAGGCAUUCUGUAAGAAGUAUCAGACCCCGGUCUAAGUUCAAAAGAGUUAAAUUCCCACAUAUACUGUAAGCUGAACCCAGAAUCUCAAACAUUAUACUCAUUAAGUUUAUAACAAACCAUCUGAUAUUGAUAGACUCAGUGUGAGGCUCAAGAAGUAUAGAAGAUUUAACACCCAUUUAUGUUUGGUUUAACAAAAUGGAAAGUGCCCAGUGACUCUGAUGACUAACAAUUUCCCAUGGAAACCACCUAAGACAAUUUUAAUUGGUGGGCAAUCACAAUAAUGACCCUCAUCCUUUUGCCUUGUAUUCUUCCUUAUGGAGAACAGAUUCCACAUUCCUCCAUAUUGUGUUGGUGGUUUCAUGGUACCACAUGCAAUCAUUGAUGAGGUAUUUGUGAUUAAUGGUUCGUAAAUCAAAUUAACAAUUAACUUUAUCUUUCUUUCGCAUUUUGCCAGUGUAGUGAAGCUGAAAUUGAAACACGGAAUUAUGCUACCAGGCCUUCUGAACUCUUUCUGUCUGCUCAGUAAUUACAAUGAUAAUUAUAAAUUAUAGAGGUGUAUACUUGACUGACUGAAAUAGCCAAAUACGCAAAAAUGAUGGUUUUCGCCAUAAGCCAAGCACACAGUCAAACAUUUCAGAAAGCUCCUUUUUAUUUGGUUUUUCAGAUGUGGAAGCAUAGAGGCAGUUAUAAGAAGAAAAGAUUCUCCAAUCAUGAUCAGACAUUAUUAUUUGGUUUGAUGGAAGCAAUCACUAACUGAACUAUGUGAACAAGAUGAUCAAUACAUCAAAUCAGAAGGUAGUUUUUCCUCUUUUAAAGGUUCUGUAGUCCUAUAUGAAUUUUUUUUUAUUUUCUAAUUAUACAGAGAUUAACUGAUUAAUCACACGGAAAUACAGAAACUACAAGCUCUGCAAGAGGCAACACAUACCGGAAAGGGCGAAAUUCAUGACGCCCACCGCUUCUAAAACGGCGCGGGCCUUCUGGAUUUCUUUUACACUUCUCCGAAAGGUUGAAGCACCGAGCUAGAUAUGCACCUUGUUGAGAAGCUACCUAGCAUUCCAAAAGAUGAAUUACAUGAGAAAUAGUGUCAAAAUAAGGCAAAAGCAACACAGAGGAAAUGAAAAUAAGUAACCUGAGCAGUCGCAGGAAGACUCUUCAUCUGUGUAUCAACAUGAGAAAGGGCUAACUUGAACCCUUCAAUAUCUAUCUCUUCUCUAUCAUUACCCUCGGGGUCCUUGAAUAGGUCUACCACAUCAAACAGAUGCUUGCUUUGUAGGUAAAGUUCCACUUGGGGGUAUCGAAUGACAAUGUCCUCAAUCACUUCUCGAAAUUCCUCAAUCGUGAGACUCCCAUUAUUAUCCUUGUCUGCUGCUUUAAAUAUUUCUGAGAUAUCUUCCUGAUAAAAAAACAAGUGAAACUAAGAAUGAACGGCAAGAUAGUAAAAUGAAAGCAAUUUUGUGAGAACCAACACAUUGAUACAUCUUAAGAAUAUAAUGUGGUUCUAUAAUUGCAUGAGAAUGGUUGACCGGUAAGCCCUUGUUAGGCUAUUAUUUAAUUCUUUUUCCUGACUAGACUAAUUGUACCAAUGACUGCAUGCACCUCAACAAAGUUUCACAACUGCCUUGUUUGCUAGUUAUUUUUUAUUAGCUCAAGCCCCAAAAUCUUCACCUUGAUUUUGGGGCACCUCAACAAAGUUUCACAACUGUUAUUGUUGGCUUUCAAAACUCAACUAUAUUCAAAAACUACAGUAAUAACUAGUUCAUGAUCCUUGAUGCUGAAAAUUCUCCGUAGAAACACUUCAUGUUAACAUGCUAAGUUGAUGUAAAGAUAUUAUAUCUGUUAGACUUACUGUGUUUUCUCAGCUAAUUGUUGAUAUGUCAUUAAGAUGAUUAAAACCUGAAAACUGAGCGACCUCAUUCAAGUGCAUGCAUGCCAAACAGGGAGUAAUUUACCAUCAUCAAGUUAAUGGGAGUUUACAACUUUCUUGUCUAACUCAGUCAAAAUUCUAAGUAAAUGAACACAUAUAAGAACAUAUACCUUAAUUUUCUUCUGCUGGAGAUGGGUACAAUCACCAAGAGCAUAAACAUAUUCACAUCCCUUUACUCGCAGCCAUUCAUCAGUUGCUAGAACACGUCUACUGCCCUGCAAAAGGAUUAGCAUUGCAAUAAAUUGGCAUAUAAGAACACCAGUGUAGAACGGACUUACAUUUUUUUUAAUAUGCUCACAUACGAAAUCAAACUCAGUUACAAGGUAGCUUGAUACUAGAAAGAGAAAUAACCAAAACAUAGGGAAGAAGUGAGAGCUUACCUGACCAAUUUGUUCCAUAAAGUCUUUCACAACUGGACGACUGCCUACUCCUGUUGACCAGACAACCAUCCCAUGCGGCAUGGAAAUAUCUUCUCCAUUUGAUUUCAUUUUCAUGUUUACGGUUCUAUCAGAAACACUGACAACCCUCCGUCCUGUUAAAACUUCAAUACCAUCUCUACUGAAUUUCUGCUCAGCAAACGUGCUAAUUCUUUCAUCAAACCUACAUUAAAUGUAUAUUCACAAAAUCAGCUUUCCAGAUAUUAGGUCAAAUCUAAGAGAUUUCAAAAGCAGAGAUAAUGUAUCUUUCCAACUCUCCACAACCAUUUAUUGGCUGCUAUAAAGUUUCUUUCAAACUCAAUAAAACCUAAAACUGGUUAUUCUCUUUCCCCCACCCACACCAAAGCACAGCAAUAAAAACAACAGAUGGAAAGACAUGUUAUAUAGCAUUGCACAACUAUUAACAGACAGGAUAUGUGUCACCUAUAAGUUACAUGAACAAAGAUGAAAUAACCAAUAUAACUACACAAGAACAAUUGAAGAGCACCAACUAAAUGAACAAGUUGUUUAUAGAUAACUAGCCAGUCAAAUCUACCCCCUUAAACAUCCAGAAUAACUUAUUAGGACAUUCAGAGGAAAUAAAUCAUCAAAGUAGUGCCAUAGAAACAAUAGCACAAGCCACUGGCCAGAAUGAGUAGGUAUCAGGCAAGUUAGGUAGUUAAAAUAUAUCCAACGUAGGUUGCCAACUACUAUACUAAGUCUACUUGCACAUGAAAGGGGGAAAAUCCACAUCCUUUUCAACAUUUACAGCUUUGAUUUGGAAUUAUGGCAGGGCUUUGGAAGGACAAAGAACAGAUUGCUAUUAGUCAAAGAUUAUUGUUGAGACAUCCACAAGGUGAGUGCAAGGUCACAAUGCUGAGAUAGGAAUGGUGAAACAAAAUUAUUCUAACAGACAGUUUAGAAUCAUUAGAUUGUGAGUCAAAGGCCCAACAUAGCAUCAGGACUACUCAGUCUAACUUGGAAACUGAAAUGUAGGAAUUUAAACAAACAUAUAUUCUCCAUUACCCUGUUCUCCCAUAGGAAACAAUUUUCAGAAAAGGACUACUACAACAAAAAGGAAGAGGAUAAGGGAGUCAAGAUUUUCAUCAUCAAAUGCAUAAAAAUGCUGUUGCAAUUUUGAGAUAAAUUUGGCAAAUAUAUACAAGUCAGUUGGCACUUGCUAAUCAAUUCUAUAAACGUUUCUGAAGAGUUAUCUCAAGAUAAUCUUGUGAUGAACUAAAUGUUUGAUCUCAUGAACGAUGAAGGCUGUAAGAAUAAGGAAAACUUAAGCUUGUAAUCAAGAUGAUGAUAUUAAAAAAUGUUUAAAGUUUUGUAUAUAUCAUAUACUUGUUUUGAAAUUGUCAACUAUUGCCUUUUCGUUCAAAAGGGAUAAUCCAACUUCAAAUAGGAUGGAAUAUUCAUGAAGAGUUAAGAGUGUGAUAGCAGUUUAAACAGGACAGAAGGAAAAAUAUAAUAUCUCAUAAUCUAAAAAGAAACUUUUGUUGUACAAAACCCUGAAAGAAAUAGUAAAUUUAAUCUUCACAUUAAGCAAAAUGAACAUAAUCUCAACAGUGCCUAGGAAGAAAAGUACAAAACCCAUUUUGAUGCUGUGGCGACAAGGUAGUAUAGAAGGCAAAGACCAAGCAGCUAAAGGAAAUUUGUAAUAAAAAAAUCUACUAGCCUAGAAAGUCGAUAACCUUACCAUAGAUCUCGUCUUGUGUGUGCCUAUUUCUGGUGGUGCUACUAGAAGUAAAACUCAAUGCCUAUGAAAAACUUUCAGAGUCUUAAACUCACCAAUUUUUUGUCUACAAAUGAAUCAGAAAAUUAAAAAUCUCUGCAGGAUCACCAUUUCUAAGAGAUCCACCAUUCAGAAGGUUCAGAGAAAAUAUGCUAGGAAAUAAACUGGGCAAGGCAUAUCUUACGUGUUGAGAAUAUGGUCCCCAGAUUGGAUCACUGUUAUUUUUACUAAAUCUUUAACUCCGGGGUAUAUAUUGACUAGAUCCUCGUAGACAAAGUCAUGUAGCUCUGCAGCAAACUCUACACCAGUUGGACCUCCACCAACAAUAACAAAAUGUAGAUUGGUUUUUCGUUCUUCAUCUGUCAACCCUGGAAGAACGGCUUUUUCAAAGCAAUCAAUUACAGUCCUCCGGAUCCUUUGAGCAUCUUCUACUUCCUGCAUACAGUUCAUGGCUUCUUUAUUAAAGGAGAACUCAGAGUCUAGAAAUGAGAUUCUUCUAGUGAUAGAAUCAUUAAAUACUGUUCCCAAUAAGCUGUUAACUGACUAAAUUAUGCUUGUCUCCAGUGAACAAGUACUCAACCUUCAAAAAGUGGCAAUACUCUGCUACACCAGGAAUGUUAAAAGUAUUAACUUCUGCACCUACUGCUAUAACCAAACAAUCAUAUUCUAGAUCAAAUUCAUCUUUUCCUGCUAAAUUCUCGUCAACAGUGGACUUGCAGAAAACCCUCCUAUUUGCUGCAUCAAUCUUCAGGCAUUCUGCUUCCCAAAAUAGUAUUUCACCAUUUCUCUGUCAUGAAAGGGGAAUUGAUGAAAAACCCAUCAUUAACUCAUCAAUGGGAUACGUAAUUGGAAAUCAGAGAAAGGAAAAAGAAAAUUGUGAGUGAGUUAUAGGCACAGAGACAAUAAUGUCCUGAGACCAAGUGAAGAAUGAUGUAGCUCAGAAACGGACAAACUAAACAUGUAUAGAAACAAGGGAGGGGUGAAAGGAAAACUUCCAGGCAAGAUAAAGAUACAAAAAUUUCCAAUUUCCACCACAACAGCAACCCUAUGGAUAACCUAAAUGUACUGCAUGAAGUUUUCCAAGGAAAAAAGAAAGAUCAACACAAAAGACACUACCAUCUUUGCAUCACCUUUUUUAUCAUGUUCCGCACAGGCUCUACAAUACUUCGUGCCUCAACUGUUCCACAUGUCACACUAGGCAGCAAAGGAGUAAAUGCAAAAUAAUUCCUCGGGGAGACAACUUGCACAUCAUAGGAAGAAAUAUCCAGAUCCUUCAGGAAGCUAGUAGCGGCCCAUCCUGUCCCAAGCACAACCACCCUCUUCUUCUGUGAUUUCUUAUUACCAUGUUCAACAAUGGACAUUUUGCCGUCUGAUUGAGAAUCUGCAUAUGCAAUGAGACCUCCACUACUGCAGAAACCAGUGAAACAUGAGGUUUACAGAUUGAAAAAAGGACCAGAAAAACUUGCAGUCCCUAGCACGGUAAAGCAUAAGAAGAAUGAUACACAUAAAAAGAUAAUCCAUCUCCUAUUCCAUUUACUUGUAGCAUUAUAUAAGAAUACAAAUGAAAGCCAACUGGCAUCUGAGGGAACAAGUCCAACUCCACAAGGAAAUCCUUGUGCAUUAGCUACUCACAAUGUAAAAAUGGCUACCCUGAACAAAUUAUAGAACCAGAGAGAGAAGUUUGUUAGCCAGAUAUUACUAGACUAACCAGAUUAAAAUUUCUAUUCCUGUCAUAGAUGAGUUAAUAAUGCUCCAUUCAUACCCCAAAUGCAAGCAUGCACAACUCCCCCAAUUCCCAGACCAUAUUUUACCUGAAUAUCUUGAUGUGCACAAGAAAAAUCACCAUGCACAGGAUCAAAUUUAUUAAACACUGGACUCAAAAACCAAAUGAGUGAAAUUUAUGAUUCAAGUUCAUGUAGAAAUUCAACAAACUGUAGCUAUUAAGUCCUUUAAACACUAUCAAUCGUCUAAAGAGAUUAUGGAAACUCCUAAAAAAGCAUGCUAAUCAACUGUCAUGGGUUCAUAAUCCAUCAAGUGAAUGCUUCAAUUUUACUACCAUCUGAUUAGCCCUUAUUUCCUUAUAAAGCGGGGAGAAAAAUUGUCAAACUGAAAGACUUAUGAAUCAUAGAUAUGACUAUUAUUGACAGACUCAAGUAUCAAUCAUCCACAUUACCAGCCUGUGAAACAAUAAAUCUGUCUUUUCUUCAAAUAGUCUAGAUCAGAUAACAUAUCAAACAGUAGAACCAUACAAGUACAGUUUUCUGGUCAGCACUUCUCAGCAAGACAACAUGCUCAAUCUUCCAUUCAAGAAUAAAAGAAAAGAACCCGCCAAUAUCACAAAAUCAACAUGUUUAAAAUGGGAAAUUCAGUCAAACUCUGAAUAUCACAUUCGCAAACUUCUCAACCAAACAAGGCAAUAACACAUCAAACAACCAAAGGUACACAAAACAAGCAUGUAAAUGAAUUAAACAAAGAUAAAAGAUCCAUUCUUUCCACUAAAGAAAAAGAACCCAUCAAGGUUUACCAAUAAAGAUUAACAAAAUGUAACUAAAUUCAAGCCAAGAUGAAGCACGGAACCUUAUAGAGCAGAGAAUCAAUAACUUAGAGGCAUAAGGCCGUCCAUGAAAAGCACUUUGCAGGUAUGACAGAACCCUCAUAUUCAAAUCUUCUCCUCCUCCUCCUUUCUUGGCUGAUCAGAAACGAGUGUGUGUGAAAUGAACAGGAGAGUGGGAAGCCUCCGACCAACUGUUUCUUCCAACUUUGUGUGGAUUUUGUCUUUUUCCGUAGCUAAAAGUGCCAGCAAAUUUUUCAAUCAAAUUUUCUACGUAUACUACUACUUACUACUGUAUAAAAUAAACAGCAUUUGUUUUUCUCUUUUGAAUAAUUUUUAAGGUUUUGAGUUGGGAUAUUUGAGUAUUUUAAGGCUGAGUGUGAGAUUAAUGCCGCGUGGCAAUUAUGGUUAAAACCUCCACUGGGAACGCUCUGACUUGACUUUAGGUCUGACCACUGACUUUUCCCCAUUUGGAAUAAGAUCUAAUCUCUCUCUCCCUCCCUCCCUCCUUGCGGUUGUUUGUUACCACUAACGUGGCUGUUGGUGCUAAUAAGUCUUCUCCUUUUGGUGUCGUGUAGACCUGAAAAUUUUAGUAAGAUGGUCACAUUUUUUAUCUUUAAAAACACAAGAUCAAUAGAGAUUUCUUAUUUAUCUCUUUGAUGACUCGAAUUUUAAACUUGUGACAUAUAAGUUUAUUUGUGACCUUGAUUAUAGGUGGAACGUGCAUUUUAUUAAUUAAAUUACGCUUCGUUAUCAAAUAAUAACACUAAAUAAUCAUUUAUGAUGCUUUAAUAGCAAAAUUUUACUAAGAUGGCAAUGCAUUUUUUAGAAUUUGCGAGUAGGAUCAAAAUUUGAGCAGCUGAAUUAACAUAUUCAAGUAGUAUUAUUCAUGUACUAUAAUUUACAACUACUACAUCAUCGAGACUUGAUGAAUUAAUGAGAACUGUGAUUACUGGUUGGUUGUAGUGUUAGAGCUCCAUUUCUAUCUCUUUAGCUACUUUUGGCUCUAUAACAUAGUUGUAUCUUCGUCGAAUUGUAUCAAGUUAUUGUAUUUUCUAUAUUAUUCAAGAUAUAAUCACAUUAUAUUAUUGUAUUGCAGAAAGAGUCAAUAUGUAUAAAUAAAAUAUUAUAUAUAUUUUUAUACAAUAAUAUAAUGUAAUUAUACACCACAAAUUAUAAUAUAUACAAUGAUCGGACAAAACCAGAUACAAAUAUACAAUACAGAUGCACCUGUCCCGUCCCCCUGUCUAGAAAAUGUCAAAAGUUUUCUUUUUAAAUCCAAUUGCAUUUAGCCUUGAAAGGAUGAUUCUGUCAUUUUAACAAAAUUUAAAAAUAAGUUAUGGCAAUAUCACAUGCCAUGUUAGCAUCAUGGACCGUCUACGUUCCAUGUUUUCCUUUUCCCAAAACCAAAAAAAAAAAAAAAA
rnacentral:lncRNA from 1 species